rnacentral:lncRNA from 1 species
GGCUAUAAAUACUAACAUGGACAGUGCAACACUUCACUCAUAACUUGGAAGAAAAAAAACACCACUAUCAAACACCAAUGGCUUCCUCUGCUUUUGCACUUGCUUCCACCUUUAGGGCUCCCACGGCCCCGAUGGUUUCCUCACCGUCGGCGAAGAUCAGUACUACUACUCCGCCGACGGCUGCCCAUUUCCUCAAACAUACUACUGGUAAGGGAGGCGAUCAGAGUGUUAACCCCUGGCGGUUUCCCGUUUUUGGAAAGACAUCUCAUCACUCUGCCGGAGGUGACCAGGUUAACGGGCCCUGGCCGCUCCCCAUCUUCGGCAACUCUACAGGAGUUGACGGUGGCUACGUUCAGCCCUUUUUCGGUUGAUAAGUACUCUACCGUCUCGACGAUGUUGUUGUUGUUGCUGCUGUUGUUGUUGCUGCUGUUGUUGUUGUUGUCGUGGUCGUCCUAAUGAAUAAUAUCCUUUCUAUUAAGGGUAGCUCUGCUGUUGUCCUCAUGAACAACAUCGCCAUAUGAUGUAACCUUGUGUUGUGUUCCAUCUAAUAUAUAAUAAAAAGAUAUUUUCUGUGUUAGCAGUUUAGCUAUACAAAAAUUAAUGCUGGAAGUUUAGUGAUUCAAAUCGUGUUAAACCGGUCGGGUCAGCAGGCUUUGCACUCAGCUGAGUAUCCCUUUGGGCUUGAGGUGCGGGUACGAAACAAUCCUAUUUUAUACUUCGUGUAAAGAAUCAUCGCGUCAUGAUAAUUCGAGUUGUUUGGGAGAGGAUUGCUUUUAGCCAGGGCAUAGGAGGAGCUAUUUUGGUGUUGAUUACUCUCUGUCACGCAUUAUAUAAAUCUUAUAUAAUUUUCUAACACCGUAACACGCUUAUCUUGCUAAAAAAAUGCAAUUUUCUGUCAUUACAUGUCGAGUUACUAAAGGUAUUUAGUAACUAGAAAUGCGUAUCAGUCAUGGAAAAUAAUAUUUACGACAGGAAAUUAUGUAACUAAAAAGAAGUCUAAUAGUUUCUGGUUUCCAUUAUUAAUAAACAUUGGUGACUAAAUAUUCACAAUUGGUGACUAAUUUCUGGUAACUAAAGCAUUUUAUGUGACGAUUGAUUUUGUUUUUGUAGUGUCUUAUACACUAAACAGAUAAACAUGUAAGGAGUGCACCUAACGUACAAUCAUGCUUCGAAACUAAUCAUGACCCUUCGAUAUUGUGUAGCGGCCAAAUGGACGGUCCUGAUAAAUUGAGGAGUUACAAAUAACUGAAUGGGGGGAAUUUAUAGGCCAAAUGGCUUGUAGCAUUGAAUUGGGGAAGUUAAAAAGGAGUGGUAGGGGAAAGAUAGCGCCAAAUGGAGGGUAUCAUUAGAUUAAGGAGUUGCGUUGCAGGCCUGCAGCGAUUUGGUUCGGUUUUUUCGAUAUUCGUGUAUCUGGAUUGUGUUAUCCGCUGAUUAAAUAUCAAGAAUUUAGAUCGGAGAACAAACUGUUAUUGCUAUCGUACGAGAAACCCGAUCUAAAUUCUUGAUACAAUUAGAAGGAAUUUGUUCCUUGAUGACCAUUUGUGAGCAUGUUUCAUAACAUAAGCUAGGUUGCAUCACUCUAAUAUAUGGAAAAAAAAAUUGCUGUAGUGUAAAUUUUAAUUUUUUUAUCUUAUCCAUAUAAAUGAUUAAUGAACAUGGUAAUCUGUCAACUCGAGUAAAUAUUGUAGACACCGAGGGCGCGCACACAUUUAUAUAUCUAUUUGUUAUAUAUAAUUUCUAUCUGUUGACGUUUUGGUUGGUCAUUACUUCGUUAUGACGGUUAUUUUGAGUUUACUAAGGCUAUUGGUACCAGUACUACUCAAAUUAAUUAAUGUACAAGUAAAAUGAAGUAGCUAUAGAAAAAGUGUAGGAAAAUAUUCAGGAGUCGAGGUGAGGAAUUACAAUACUUGGAUCCUUUAUUGCUUUUGCACUUGCUUCUACCUUUAUUGUUUCCUCACCGGCGGCCAAGAGUACUGCUACUCCGCCGAUGGCUACCAUUGCCGCCCGUUUCCCCAAACAUACUACUGGUAAGGGAGGCGACCAGAGUGUUAACCCCUGGCGGUUUCCCAUCUUUGGAAAGACAUCUCAUAACUCUGCUGGAGGUGACCAUGGCUACGUCUUACCCUGCUUUGCAGAGGCAAAUAACUCUAUUGGCGGUGACAGGAGUGUUAACCCCUGACGGUUUCCCAUCUUCGGAAAGACAUCUCAUAACUCUCCUGGCGGUGACAGUAGUGGGAACGUCCUACCCUGCUUUGCAAAAGCCGAUAACUCUACUGGAGACUGCGAUGGUGGCUACGUCCUUACCUGCUUUGCAAAAGCCGAGAACUCUACCGGAGGCGGCGAUGCUGGCUAUGUUCUGCCCUGCUUCGGAAAAGCCGAUAACUCUACCAGAGGCGGCGAUGCUGGCUAUGUUCUGUCCUGUUUCGGAAAAGCCGAUAACUGUACGAGAGGCGGCGAUGAUGGCUAUAUUCUGCCUUGCUUCGGAAAAGCCGAUAACUCUACCGCAGGGGGCGAUGGUGGCUACGUCCUGCCGUGCUUCGGAAUUGCCGAUAACUCUACCGCAGGCGGCGAUGGUGGCUACGUCCGAACCUGCUCUUCUUAAAUUAAGUUGUUGUUGUGUGUUCUGGUUGUAUGUUGAGCAUUGUCCUAAUGAAUAAUAUCAUUUUGGCUCUCCGAUUGCAACCAGAUUAAUGAUCUUAAAUAUUGGUUCGGAGAGAUGGUCUUGAUAGAUUUUGAUGGUUGGAUUAUGUGUCUUUUGGUUAAAUUUCAUCGAAUGGUGAAAAAUAAGUCAAACGAAUUGACUUAAAUUGAGUAUUUUCAGAACAAAAAAAUAGAAAAAAUCAUAUAGGUGUGGGUGUACGAGCAUGUUAUGUCGCCAAUACGAUUAUGUUACAGGCUCAUUAUGUCGUUGCUACGUCCACCUUACUAGUAGUUGAAUUCAUCAUCGUAAUGCCUAAUUUACCACUCUUUUAUGCCGGUGAUAUAUACACUUUACGAGUUUGUUGUGCAUUUUUAUUAUGUCCAUAUUGCGUGAUUAUUACAUCAUUGCUGUGUCCAUGUAAAUUGUUAUAUUCAUGUUACGUCAUUAUUACAUAAUUUUUAUAUCAUUAUCAUAUCCAGUUUACGUGCGAAGAAUAGAGAGAGGAGAGAAGCAAAAUAUGAAAAGAGAAAAUAUUUUUUAAAUUUCCGUUAAACCCUGAUAAAAUUCCAAUCGUCAAAUUGAAAUUGCCGAAAUUGAUUUUAGACAGUUGGAUCGCUGUCUGGACAAUCUGAAAAAUUGGGCCUCUCGGAUCAUUAGCAAUUUUGCUCCGAUUGAGGCUAUUGGUUUCCUUUCUAAGUAUUUGGGAGACCUACCUCUUCAAUUGAGGUGACAUACGAUUCAUAAACUCUUGGUUCACUCGCGCUCACUGUAUUUUUUGGAUAUGGAUAUUAACCCACAAAUUAGGCUUGGAACAUAUUGGUUCGGAAAUCCGAAAAAUCGCCUGAAUCCAAUCGGGCAAAAUCCAAUUUGACCGAGUGGCGGAUCAGAUUCGGAUUAAUUGAAAUCCGAAGAUGACGAGCAACGGAUGGGUAUCAAAUUCACUGAUAUCCGAUUCGACUCCACCCGAAAGUAUAUAUACAGGAAAAAAACUCUAUAUUAGUUUGGUUUAUAUUUUUGUUGGAGGGGUUUUUGUUUGGUUUAUGUUGCUAGUUGUUACAAUGAGUUUUGCUAAUGAAGGUUAUUAAGCGAAUUUAGUAUUUUGGAUAAUUUGAGGGUUGUUUGAUUGAUUUUGCUUUGGUUUAAACUCGAUUUUCAAUUUUGAAUUAGUAUGUUUCAGAUCAAAUUUAAAUUUUUGACCAAAUCCGCAAUCCGGAAAUAGGCGGGGAUAAUAUAAAAUCUAAGUCCAAUUGUUAUUACGAGCGGAAAUUCCCCAAAUCCGACUUCGACCACCCGAUUGCCAAGCCUACCACAGAUGGUAAAACCAAUUUCCAAAUUUAACUUUUACCUUAUCCACAACAAUAUCCACAGUCACAAAACCGGACAACGCCUGACACGUGUCGCAAUCUCCUCUACCACACCUGUCCAACCAACUGGCCAUAAAAAACCAAUAUCCAAUUUCCCACGGUCUCCGUUUCCCGGUAAAAAGAAUUAAAAACUCACUAGCCGUCAGAUUAUCCUCCUCAUCCUAAUCCAACGGUCCACACACCUCUUCUUCCUCCUUUUCUUCUACUUCAUACAGAUCAUCAAAACCUUCUCUCUCUCUCUGUUCAAAUGUUUGAAACAUUUUGAAAGAUUUCCAAUCAAUCUCUUUGCGUCCAGAUUUCACAAGCAAAAACCUCUGCUUUUGAAGCUAUGGCGGAGCUAUUGAGCAAUCCGAAUCCAAUCGGAUCGUCGUGGUCUGCUGCCGUUUCUUCUUCUUCUUCUUCUUCUUCUCCGGCCAGCAGAUGCGAUUCCGGCUAUCGGAGCUUCCGGAUCUGCGUCGUAGGGAAGAGUCGGAGGUCUGCAGCGGUUAGAUCACAGGUGGCCACUUGUGGCGGUGGGUUCUAUGGUAAACGGACUGUUGUUCAGGGGAAUGAAAGCAGAGGAAGAAGAAGCCAUCUUCGUCGAUCUUCGAUUCGAGCUCAGGUAAUUAGCGUUCGGUCAAAAGCUUUGAUCUUUUUUAAUUUCCUUAUCGAGGUUGAUUAGAUUUCGUGAAAUUUCGUUGUGGGCUUGUUGAGAAAUGUGAUUUUAGGGAUUGGAAAUUAGGAAACCACUCAUUUGAAUAAUGUUUGGUUCUGGUUUCAGAGUUCUUUAGAUCAGACCGGUUGGAUGAUCAAACCGGUAAUUGAAUCAUUAAAACCCUCUAAAAUUGAAUGGCUAGGCCAGAUUUUUUUUGUAGUUUAUUAACUCAGUUCAAGAAUGAAACAUUGGUAAGUAAUGUGACCUGUAAAUAUGAACCAUGAGUUGAAGAGAAGUUAGAUCCAGGUUGAACCACUCGCUUAUCCGGUUCGAUUUUUGAAUUUGGUAGAGUGGCCGUAUAGGAAAUGCACAGAGAUGGUGGGAGAAGGGAUUACAACCAAACAUGAAGGAAGUAACUUCAGCUCAAGACCUUGUUGACUCUCUGUCGAAUGCCGGAGACAAACUGGUGAUUAUCAAUUUCUUCUCCCCGGGAUGUGGUGGCUGCAAGGCUCUCCAUCCCAAGGUAAGCAAAACAAACCCCCCACAUUCUCGAAUUCGAUCAGAAGGGGGCAUUGUGUUCUUAGUUUGGGAUGGGUUGUCAUUGCAGAUAUGUCAAAUAGCGGAAGCGAACCCGGAAGUACAGUUCCUCCAUGUGAACUACGAGGAGCACAAGUCCAUGUGUUACAGCCUCAACGUUCAUGUCCUGCCUUUCUUCCGAUUCUACCGAGGUUCGCAAGGGCGGUUAUGUAGCUUCAGUUGCACCAAUGCCACGGUUCGUACUUUGCUUUUUAGAUGAUUACGUUGUCCCUAGAUUGAAUAAAUUGCUGAAGGGAUUCUUUCUUUCUCCUCUCCUACAGAUCAAGAAGUUCAGAGAUGCAUUGGCGAAGCACACUCCGGACAGGUGCAGCCUCGGUCCGGUGAAAGGUCUGGAGGAGAAAGAGCUGGUUGCACUAGCAGCUAACAAAGAUCUCAACUUUACAGACACUCAGAAGAAGGUUCUUCCAAAGCCUGCAGUUUCUCUACCACCACCAUUGACAUCAUCUCCCUCCAAGCCGCUUCAGAGUUCUCUCCUCCCGGUCGAAGAGAAAACUCUGGUUUCGUCGGGGAGAUGAUGAUGAUUCGACUUUGACCUCCCCCUUCCUCUGUACAGCUCCAUGUUGCUCAAUGUCUGAUUUGUGUGUGGCCAUAUUGUUGUAGUAGUAGCAGUGGUAGAAGUUGCAGGUUUUAAGGAUUCUGUUUGGGUUUUUUUAAUGGAGUCCUGUAAGCCUGCUGGUAUAAGGUUGUUGUUACUGUAAUAUUGUAUUAAGAAGAAGAAAUGCUAUGAAGAAACUUGGUUGUAAAAAUGUAAUGUGGAGCAGUUGUGUUUUUUGGAUUACUGUACCAUAAAGACUUAGUAAACAAGUAUAAUGGCAAGUGUUAUUGCUUGUGCCUAUUUCGAUUUCAUCAGGCUAAAGCUUGACUGAGCCAAUUUUUAGGUGAGCUUGAGCUUAAACUUAAGCUAGAAAUUGUUGGAGCCUAUUUGAGUCGGGCUUUUAGUAAGACAAAUUCGAGCUCAACUUAAAUUUCGCUCAUUAAACUCCCAUAAUGGUCCAAUUUGAAUUGAAUUUGAAGGUUGUACAAGGUAUUCUAAAAUUACAAGUUUCUAUAAUCACAUGUUGCAUUCUUGAGUCUAUUGACGAGUCACAUACUCGAGUUAGUAUUCGAGUUGGCUCUUGAGUUUGAGCUCGACCCAGCUUGCGAGCCUAAAGAGUCGGAACAUAAAUUAAUUCAAGUUUGGCUCAUUUAAAAUCGAGCAAGUCAAAACAAAUUUUUUUCGAACUGAUGGUUCAAGUUUGGGCUAACGGAGGUACAAACCUUUCUUACGGCCUUGGAUAACUAAUAAGCCCAAUCUAGAAUAUAACCGUUUUCAAUGGGCCUCGGCCCAGAUAAUAUCUCCCUCGCGACAUCAAAGAAGCUUUUCAGCGCCAGGUGAAAAUAAGAACCUAUUAGUGUUCUUCUCUCUUUCCCGCCUCCGGCCGCCGUAGCUAUCUCCGACGACCAUAGCUCCUCUCCGUUUACCAUCUCUCUUCCAGUAAGCUCCUACUUCACCCAUUCUUAUUCUUCUUCAUCUCGCUUACGUUUUCGAAUUUCUCGCCAGAAAGCUCUCUUUGACACACAGUAGAAGUUUUGUUUCUGCAGCUGCUUUUUAAAUUUUGUUUAAAACUUAAAUGCCUUCAAAGACGAAGAAGCAGUCCAAGGGACAGUCGAGGCUGUCGAGCUCGGAGCUCUCCGGUUCGUCGCCUCGGACUCCGUCACUGACGCCUUCUCUAACUUCUCAAUUCGGCGAAGAUGAGGAAGAAGAAUACCUAUCCUCCUGUUUGGAAGAAGUGUCUAGGAGAUUCCCUGAUUUGAUCGGAAAAUCCGCUGUUGUUAGCCGAAUCACUGACGUGGCUCCUGAUUCUAGAGGCGGUAAAAUCUGGCUCUCUGAGGCUUCCAUGGUCGCUUCUUCAAUCGUCCCUGGUUCCGUUGUCUCGGUAAGCAUUGGCGUAAUGUGAUUUUGCUAGCUCUUUUUGUGUUCGCUCGAUGAAAUUAGGAAUCAUUUCUGGGUUUAUGAUCGAUUACAUUGCAGCUUGGUAUGGAUUUUCCAUUUCUAGAUGUUCUGAUGAUGAUUAAUUACAUUGCAGGUGUCGAUUGCUGCUUCAGCAAGUAAUGGUUUUCCUCUCAGUGCAAUAUCGAUGGAUAGUGCUACACAGAUGGGUAUGGAGUUGAUGGAUGAACAAGCUUAUGCAGAAGGAAACUACUUUGCUCUUGCUACUGUUUUUCCUUCUUGUAAGGUUUGACUGGCUCUCCUUUUUUUUCAAUCUUACAGAUCAUUUCCAUUACUUUCAAGCAUGUAGGUCUCAGAAUUAUAGUCUUUGCAUCAGGUUUUGAAGAACGGAGUGCGAUUGUCAAUAGAUCUAUGGUACACAAUGGGUUGUCCUGCUUCGAAUAGCAAUGUCUUUGUUUAUCCUAUAGAGAGUGACUUUGUAGGUAGUCGAAUAAAUGGAAGUACCAAACGAAACGACACGGCGAAAGUGUAUAUCAGAAAUUGUAGCAAGCUAUGCUUAGACUUGGUCCCUUUGAAGAAACGGUUGCAAAUGGAAAGUGGUGAAAAUUCUCACGAUUCAUCUGCAAACAGUGUAGUUUCAUCUCCAAGGACACCAAUGUCUCGAUCCAAACUCAGGUCUCCUAGUCCUGGUCAAUUCUCUGCACCAAAACUUGAAGAAGUAGCAGCAGGUGGUUUGUCCUACCUAGCUGGUAAAUUUGGUGAUCCGUCUCGAAUUAAGGACGUGCUAAAGGAUGAAAAUUCGAGAAAGCUACUGCAAGUUUGUGCUGCCUCAUGGCUGUACGCGCGUGUUUUAAUCUGUGGGAAUGUCGUUGCAGUCCCUGUGAUGUCAGAGCUUUUUGUUUACCGUGUGACGAGUGAUCAAGAAUUUACAGCUAGUGAUGGUAACCAAGGGACGGAAGGCAAAAGGAGUAAUGGUUACCCUAAAAUGCCCGAGUUGGCAAAUCAUGAGACUGAUGCCUUGGUCAUAAAUCAUGAAACACAAGUGUAUUUCUGUCACCAAGAAGGCUCAGCAGAUGAAACCCCUAAGAAAAGGGGUGAGAAAACUGGUAGAUAUGAUGUGCCGAAAUUGGGUGGUCUACGCAAGGAAUACAAUAUUUUGAAGGAAAUAAUUGCAUCAUCAAUGAAGAACAAUUUAUCAAGGUAUUUGGGUUUGAGUUAUUUUCUGUUGGUUUUGUUUUCUUGAUUUAAUCAGUACGACGCAUCUGUUGUUAGUGAUUAUGAGUAAAGGAAUUCCUGUUUAUAUAUAUUUGUCUUUCCUACGUUUGUUGUUGACACAAGUCUUUUAGUCUUGGUCUACGAACUACAAAGGGAGUGCUUCUUCAUGGUCCACCUGGCACUGGGAAAACUUCCUUGGCUCGUCUAUGCACCCGCGAUGCUGCACUUAAAAUUUUCACCGUUAACGGACCUGAGAUAAUAACUCAAUAUCAUGGAGAAAGUGAGCAAGCACUGCGUGAAGUUUUUUAUUCCGCUAGUCAAGCUGCACCAGCUGUGGUUAGAUUCAUCUCUUUAUUAUUGUAUUUCAUAAGAAUCUUUAGUUAAGUUACGACCUUUGAAAAAGCCUAAGUGUAGGACUCUGGCAUAUUCUCUUUGUAGGUAUUCAUCGAUGAAUUGGAUGCCAUUGUACCCGCAAGGAAAGAAGGAGGUGAUGAGCUAUCUCAGAGAAUGGUGGCCACGCUAUUGAACUUGAUGGAUGGUAUUAGUAGGACUGACGGAGUGGUCGUUAUUGCGGCAACCAACCGGCCUGAUAGUAUUGAACCUGCACUGAGACGGCCAGGCAGACUUGAUAGAGAAAUUGAAAUAGGUAUUCAGAACCUGGCAUCAAGCAUUUCACGGACUGUCCAAAGACAAUUUGUUUUUGGGUCCUUUGCCUAAGCGUAAGUUUAACUAUCUUCCUUGUGCAUGCAGGUGUUCCGUCACCCCAGCAACGCCUAGAGAUAAUUCAUACUCUUCUCGGUGAAAUGGAACACUGCAUUUCAUAUAGCCAAGCUAAGGAUCUUGCCAUGGCUACACAUGGCUUUGUGGGUGCUGAUUUAGCUGCACUGUGUAACGAAGCCGCCUUGGUGUGUCUUAGGCGGUUUUCUAAGCUAGACAGAUCUGGCGAUAGUUCGCUUCUGAACUCGACGCUUAGUGCGGAUUCUGGAUCGGAGGUGGUGUCCACUUCCCGUGCUUCGCUACCGCCGAUUCUGACAUCUCCUAGCUUAAGUACUGCCUCCUCGUUAGUAGCUGAUAACAUCGAUGACGGUACUAGUAACGGCCACGAGGAUUCAUUCUCAGUUGAAGACAAGCUAUUGAAAGUCGUCUAUGAAGACUUCGAAAAGGCCAGGAUGAAAGUGAGGCCUAGCGCCAUGCGAGAGGUAUGCUUCAUCAAUAGAAAGCGCAUCUUUGAUUAUAUAGGUAUUUCCAAAGUUUUAUGUACAUAAUCUGGUCGUAUACUUGCAGGUAAUACUCGAGGUACCAAAAGUCAAAUGGGAUGACAUUGGUGGGCAACGAGAAGUAAAAACUCAACUGAUGGAAGCAGUCGAAUGGCCUCAAAAACAUCAGGAGGCAUUCAAACGCAUUGGUACUCGUCCCCCGUCUGGAAUUUUGAUGUUCGGUCCUCCUGGUUGCAGUAAAACGCUCAUGGCGCGAGCAGUAGCAUCAGAAGCCGGAUUGAAUUUCCUGGCAGUUAAGGGUCCAGAGCUUUUCAGCAAAUGGGUUGGUGAAUCUGAAAAGGCUGUGAAGUCCCUUUUCGCUAAGGCCAGGGCCAAUGCACCGUCGAUCAUCUUCUUCGACGAGAUUGAUAGUCUUGCAGUCAUCCGCGGAAAGGAAAGUGAUGGAGUUUCGGUUUCUGACCGGGUCAUGAGCCAACUUCUUGUUGAAUUAGAUGGUAAGUAAUCUUUCCCCUACAAUCUUUUCUAUGGUUAACUGAGAGUCAGUGCAUCAUCGAGUCUUUGAGUAAUCUGUAUGUUCCGUUCUUCUUAGGUCUGCAUCAGCGAGUGAAUGUUACCGUUAUCGCUGCCACAAAUCAACCAGAUAAGAUUGAUUCAGCCCUUCUAAGGCCAGGUGAGCUCCAAUUCUCUCUUUUUCUCUUAAUGCACAUCCGAAGCAACCCCAGUACUCUCCUUAUGCGUUAGAUACAUCUACGUACAGGACGUUUCGAUCGAUUACUAUACGUGGGACCUCCAAACGAGAAUGAUCGGGAAGCCAUAUUUUCGGUCCAUCUACGUAGAAUUCCAUGCAGUUCAGAUGUCAAUACGAAAGAGCUUGCUUCUCUGACAGAUGGAUAUACAGGAGCCGACAUCUCAUUAAUAUGUCGCGAAGCAGCAAUUUCGGCUCUCGAGGUUGGUUCGGUUCUGUUUGUCCGCACUUGUUCGCAUUUGGUUACUGAUUAGGUACUUUUGGCUUGACCAGGAAAACAUCGAUGCCUCAGAGGUGACAACGUGGCAUUUGAAGAACGCAAUCGAGCGAGUCCAGCCAUCGAACUCUCAGUCUUACGAAAAGCUGUCAGCUCGGUUUCAAAGGCUCGUCCAAUCCAGCAAUGGCGGAGACUACGACGAAUCAAGUGAGGAUCAAGAUCAGCCGGGCAGAUACCGAACCUGGUAUAUCAUCAGUACCCUACUCGGAAAAAAAACCGCACAGUUUCGAAAUUCAGCUGACAUAAAACUCUUUCCUUCUCAGGGGCAUGGUAAAAUCUACUCUUGCAAGGCUUUUUUCUUAACUUAUCAACUGGGUCGAACCGUUGAAAUUUCGAUCAAAGAUUGUCGAAUUUUCGCCGCUCGAGCUUUACUUUGCCUAAUCAAAGGUCCGGGAACAGCAGUAUUGAUGUUGAUGCCGUCACAAAGUUAAUUUCGAAAAAACAAAUCGGAUUAGCCGGUUUGUAACCGUGAUUAAUUUCGAAAUGUUGGGUUCUUUGAAAGACAGGUACAGUAGUCAAAGUUGAGAGACUGACAAAAGUACAUAUCGAUAUAUAUAUAUAUAAAGAAAAGUGCAUCUUACCACUUUUUCUCUUUGCAGUAAUUAAUUUUUUUAUAUUUUGUAAAAAAAAUAUUUCGACUUCAAAUUACGGGAGAGUAAUAUGUUAAAAUGAAUUAAAUUGUAUGGUUUCCGAACCGUUAAAAGGAGCGGGAUUGUUUAGUACGGAACUAGAUUUCUCGUGCGUUAUGAGUCUAGCUUCAGCUCGACUUCCAAUGUAUGAUCCAAUACCUUACAGAACUUGGGACAACGGUUGUAUAUGCCACUCUUCAUCACAACUUUAUGGCUUGUCGUCGGAUCAUCUUGUUAGUAGACUAGAGGCCACCAUCACUAGUAAAGCCCUUCAUAGCUUCGAUCAGCCUCUCGUGUACUGGAUUUUACACCACUUGCUUAAACAUUUGCAAGACUUGCUGAUCCAAACAAGUUACAAUAUCGUAUUAGUCGGUUUAAAUUAUAUGGUUUACGAACCAUUAAAAGACGUUUUAGCGGGAUUGUAGUCUUUUUUAUAAGAACGAGAUUGUAAUUAGUAUGGAACUAGAGUACUCAUGCGUCACGGGUCCGGUAUAAGUUCGACUUUCAAUGUACGAUUCAAUGCAUUACAGAACUUAGGACUACGAUCGUAUAUGCCACUCUUCAUCACAACUUUAUGGAUUGUCGGUUUGAUCAUCUUGUUAGUAGACUAGAGACCACCAUCACCACUACUGUAAGCCCUUCGUAGCGUCAAUCUCCGAAACACGACUCGCUUAAACAUUCUCAAGACUUGCUGAACCAAGCGAGUUACAAUAUUGUAUUACUCGGUUUAAAUUCAACGACAUAAACCUCCUCGAUUAUGAAUAGAUGCGUAUAAAUCAUCCCACCCACUGACCAAUGUGUAAGAAUAUGAAUUUCCAAGUAUCAAAAAGAAAUUUUGCAAAGCAUAUUCUGACAAUUGCUAUUACACCUCAAAAAGAGCAAAUUCAAAGCUCCUGUCUUUUUCUCCUGUACUUUCUUUCCCCCUUUUCUUUUGUCUCAUUUUCUCCACUACUCUUAUUAUUUUACAUUUCCUUCCACAAACCCCCCACUCCCACCUUCUCCAUCUUCAUCCCCAACCCAAAAAGGUCCUACCUUUUCCAUUUUUUCUAGGGUUUUCCAUCUCUCUCUCUCUCUCUCUCUCUCGCCAUAGCUCUCAACUCACUUCACUGUUCAUCAACCUCCAGGUAAACUCGUCCUUCAUCCUUCCUUCCUACCCUUCAAUUCAUCCCUCUUUGGAUUUCUGCGUCUCUUCAGUGAGGUCUGUACUCUCUAGCUUUUUUGGGUCUUGGCUUAGUUUUCUGUCAAAUUGAUUGAAAUCUCCCCUCAGAUUGUCUGUAUGUGGGUUUUUUCUUGUGGGGUUGUUUUGGGGAAGUCGAAAGUUUGUUGCUUUAAUCUGUUUCCUGGUAUGGAAUGGAUUGAUGAUGUCUGCUGAGGAUUUCUGCUGAAUGAUUUUGUCUGCUGCUGACGUAAUCAUGUAUUUACUGCUAGUUUCCCUGUUAUGAUGGAGAAGAUUCAGUUAGAUUGUAGUUUGAUUGGGUUGUUUUAGUUCUAGGCUGCCUGUUGAAGGGUUAACUGUUGAACUUGAAAAGUUACAGCUAUGGCUUGUCUGUUGAUUAUGGUUCUGUUUUGGGUUUGACUUGCCAAAAUGCCUGGUUCUUGUUUUCUCUGGUGGCUUUAGCCAUUUUCGCUAUGUAGAGAAUAGAGUGAUUGGGCUAGAGUUUGAGAAUAGGGUUUAGGAUCGUGAUAACUCGAGUUGUUGGGAGAGGGUUUAGAAUUGGUUCAUAUAACAAUCCUUGAACAGUUACUUGUAGUAAUUUCAUAUGGUUUGAUAUCGUUGCAGGUACCUGUUCUAUCUGUGUUGCUAUUAAUGCUGAAGCUCCAUAUUUUACCAGAGAGAAAGCAGUGAACUCUUGACUGCUGCCACUGGUUGAUGAUGUCUCCAUAGUGUAUAUUAGAAAUCGUACUCUUACGCUGAAGCUCAUUGUCGAUUUCCCACGAGUAUUAGUUCAUCCAUUUAUCUGAAGCUGCAAACACCUUACUGGUGGUCAAUAGAAAAUAGCUAACACGGGUGCCCUAUGUUGUGUGGCCGCUGGGCCACAUGGCGGAGCAAAGUCUUCUGUCGAAGGCGGUGGCAGAAAUGAUCCGUCUUUCAACGAGGGAGAAGAACAACCCCCUCGUUGGAGGACGAAUUCUAGCUUCUCUCCCCCGGCUUUGAGGAUGUGGGAUUGCAGAUUACACUCGGAUGGCGUUUCGCAAGAGCCUCAUGGUGUUCGUGGUUCAUCUGCUUCGUCGCAUAGCAGGAACUGGAUGGGUAGUGAUCAGUAUACCAACCAUCACCAUUCUGUCUCUGAUGGUGCUUUGUCUUUCUCUGAUAGUCCGCCUGAUAACAUCCCACGGAAUCGAUGGACAUCGCCAUUGCCAAAGUUCCAUUUAAGCGAGCUUUCUUCUGUCGCCGCAGGAGGUAAGCUAGUGAAUCACACUACAAUAUCUGCACAGAUUGUUCUUUCAGGACAUGAACCAUUUGACAUCGUUAUUUAACAAUUUUGUUGUGUCCGAAUCACAGGCUCUAGAAUUCAAACUUCUUGGCUUCCUCGCUCCGCCGAGGUGACUUUUUGGCUCUUUUAGUUGUUUCGAUUUCAACAGCAUUUAUGUUAUAAAGAUUUCAUCUUUAUCAUGGUGUUUUUCAUGUGGCAGAGACCAUUUCCUGUUAGAGCCAAUGUAGCAUCCCCUAGCCUGGGUUCUUCGUCUCCUCUUUCCGAAUCCGGUCAAUGGGAAUCGACAUCAAUAAACAAGCGCCCUUUCCGGAGCUUCAACAACAGGCGAUCCUCACACACAUCUAAAGCUGUCUAUCCUCUAAUGUUCCGUAACCCAGUCUCCGACUGCGAAACACUUGGUGGUGAUGCUGACUCCAGCAGCUUUGGUCAGGUGACACCAUCAUCCUCUGGCUGGCCCGAUCACAGUCCCAGCAUCGAGUACAAAUUCCAGAAGACCCUCAUGGAACUCCACGAGACAACGUCACCUGACCCCAGCGCUAGCUCCAGAAGAGACGGCUUUCGAUGGAGCAGCGCCAGCAGCUACGAUAUGGGUCUCGACAUAGGGGAGCAGCAGCAGCUCGAUUUGGAAAGCCUCAAGUCCAGCAGCAGCACUGCAGUGGAUCAAAAGUGCGGAGUCUGCUCGAAACUCCUAUGGCAGAAAUCUCCCUGGAGCUCGAAUCGGAUCAUGAGAGGAGGCGUCGGAGACAUGCCUACCGCUGGGGUCCUACACUGUGCACAUGUCUUCCACGCAGAAUGCUUGGAACAGGUGACACCGAAGACUCAGGUCCACGACCCUCCUUGUCCGCUGUGCUCGAAAACCAUCGGUGGUCUGGAAGGUAGCGAAUCUGCAGGUGUUGUUGCUGAACAUUUGCUGAGAUCCAUUCGGAGAAGUAGAGGACCGUUGACUAUGUCUGAUGAUCACCAUAACAACACUACUAAAGAUAUGCUAAUAAGGAGGAAGGCUCCGCCAUGCCAAGAGGAGAGUAGCUCCUCGUUAACGAGCCGGCUUAAGAAGCAUUUCGCCAUGAAAGGGAAAACCGGCAAAGUGUUGUUCCAUAGGACUGGAUCUUCUUCUUCCUGAGAGAAAGCAAGGCUUGUUUUGUUAAGUAAAACCUUCAUUCCCCUUUUAGCAUUUUGUAUGUAAUUUUGUUGCAGAUAGGCGUUUGAUGGAUGAUUGAAUAUUUUCAAACCCUCUUGUAUUCUACUUAUUUGUCUUGUGAAAAAAGAUCUGAUUUCCGAUCUUUUCAGACGAUUACCACAUUGUUUCGAAACUUGAACAAGCGAAUUGAAGUUCAAGAGGUACAUAGCACGGACCUUCUUGAUUUUCCACAGAUGUUACCCUGUGUCAUCUACUAUGUCGAACCAUUUGUUAGGAUGAACCUGACUUUAUCUCGAUUUCAACAGAUGAUACGCUGUGUUCUACAUGGUGGGUAUAGAUAUCUUCAUACCUUUCAAGUAAUCGAGUAUACUAUCAAAAGCCACAGUCUAAACACUGAUGUAAACUCCAAAACUGGAUUCAAUUGAAAAACCAGAUGGCUAAUUUUGCAGGCUCAGACAGUGACAUAAGACUCUCAAAGACAAGUUUCUGGUGUCUUUUUCCUUUGUAGUUCUGUUCCUGCAGUCUCUUUAAGAACUAUAACACAUAACAUAAGACGGCUACAUUUCUACUGUCUUGUUUUGCUUCUUUGCUCUGUCUUCUUCCUCUUCAGGUUGGUAGAGUGCACAAAUCUCUGUCUCUCUACUGCCGUUUCAAACCAAAAAUCCGAAUUUCGACUGGUUUCCCCCUUUUGGUCGGACCGUGAAAAAACCCAGACCGGUCUGAAACCAUUAAAACAUCUAAAACCGCUUGAAAAGUUCACACCCUUUUUGGUUUCCUUUAAGGUUCGACCUUUGUUGAAUAUAUGAAUCUUGACCCCGCUUACUCGUGCAGCGAGACCGGUUCGAAAAAUCAUUAGUACAGUUCACACCUACUUCGGUCGUUUCCAUCAAAGGUUCGACCUGUGGUCGAAUCUAUGAAGCUCAACCCCGCUUACUCAGCCAGUUUGGUUCUAUUCGGACAACCUAUUUAUAUCAUAAGAAACCCCACUUACCUAUUUCCUUCAGACAUCCAAAAUUCUCAUCUCAAACAUUUCUCUCUUAUCACAAACUGAGUUUUAUUUGCAGUUCUUCAUUGAACCAAACUCAGGUCCAGCAACGAGCAAAGCAUGAAUCUUUGGGUCAGAAUAGCACUCGCAACGUUAGUAUCCUUGUCGUAUUCGAACCUCAUCCAGGGCCACGAAAAGAAAUCGUCCCAUGGCAGCCAUCUAGUUGAUAAGAAGAAGCAGCAUGCCAUAGCUGGGAAAUGGACUCAUGCUCAUGCAACUUUCUACGGAGGGGGCGACGCCUCCGGCACAAUGGGUACGUAACAUAAACCCGAGUCCUCGAAAACCAUUUCGCGACGAAGACUUAGUCUUUAAUCUAAAAAACUCGCGUCCCACUACAGGCGGAGCGUGUGGCUACGGUAACCUCUACAGCGAAGGCUACGGCAUAAAGACCGCCGCUUUGAGCACCGCCCUCUUCAACAAUGGCAAAUCCUGCGGAGCCUGCUACGAGAUAAUUUGCGUCGACGAUUCGCAGUGGUGUAAAGCCGCGAAUGCGAUCACAGUCACCGCCACCAACUUCUGCCCCGCAAACUACGCCGAACCAAACAACGACGGCGGAUGGUGCAACCCACCGCUGGAGCACUUCGACCUGUCUGUGCCGAUAUUCCUCCACAUCGCACAGUACAAGGCCGGUAUCGUACCAGUAAAGUACAGGCGGGUGACAUGCAAGCGUAUUGGAGGGAUUAGGUUUACGAUCACCGGGAGCGCGUAUUUCAACCUAGUGCUGGUGAGCAAUGUUGGGGGAGCGGGAGAUGUUGUGGCGAUGUCAGUGAAGGGGACCAAGACCAGGUGGAUGCGGAUGGCGAGGAACUGGGGACAGAACUGGCAGGCGAAUGAUGUACUUAUAGGGCAGGAGUUGUCGUUUAAAACUACUACGAGCGAUGGCCGGGCAACGGUUUCAAAUAAGGUGGUUCCGGCGGGAUGGAAAUUUGGACAGACUUUCACCGGAAAUCAGUUCUGAGUAGCUAAAAAGUGUGACAGUGAUGAGUAUGGAUCUUAUAGUGUAACUAAACUUUUCUCAUAAUGAACAAAAGUAGAGUAAUUGAUAUUAACUAAAGAGUUGCAGCCAUUGUUAACAAAGCAUUACAGAAAGAUCAAUUGCAGGUUGAUACUUGAUAAAAGGGUUUUACACAAGAGGGGAAAGCCUGAGAUUUCUUGCUCCAUAAGUCAUGUAAACCAACCUAGUUCAUGUAAUCGAAAAUGGCAUACCAAAACCAGAGAAAUGUACUACACAUUGUUCUUGAAUCCAGACCAAUUACGAUAGGACAGGCAAGCCAGAGCCUCUCCAAUAUCAACAGUCCCAAAGCUGGUCCACCAAGUUCUUGAAGUACUUCCUCUAUGUUAUCAUCCUGGUGAUCAUGUUCAAGCGAAGUCUCAGUUGGCGUGCAGCAGCAUCGAUCAAUGUUUCACUCUUCAUAGGCUCUGCUGGUCCCUGUAGUACGAGAAUGCCGCCCUGCAAAACAAAGCUAUUCGAGCACCAAAACAUACAGAAACUGAAUAGCUGAGACUCACAAAUCAAACCAUGGAACAACUAUGGAGAAACAGCAAACAAUCAAUUUUGUUCAAUUCACAUGCUAAUCUAGACAGGGUAGUUUCACCAAGCACCGUUCUUUACAACACUAGAAACCUACAGGAGACCGAGCAGUCAAAAUCAUGAAAGAACUAUGAAAAAACAGUGAUAAUCCAUGAAUCAAAACAACGAUGAAAAAUCACAACACAGUCAAUUUGUUCAAUUCACUGGCUAAUGACAAUGCAGAUACCAAACUACAAAUCUAGACAGAGCAGUUUUCACCAAGCACUAUUCUUUACAGCACAAGAAAGAAGCAAAACCAUAACCAUUGGUAACGAAAAAUCAGAAACAGUCACAAAAACUAAGUUCUUUCAAGCUAAAACUACACUACAGAACCAAAUCGAAGAACUAAGAAAGAAACACACAAAAAUACUAUAAAAAAUCUGUGAAAAUCAGGGAUUUGGGGGGGACAGCCCGCUGAUCCCGUCAUAGCCCAAAUCGAUAAACGAUUAUUUAGGGCUUUUCAGUGUGCAGGCAGUCGUCACCGCGGGGGUUUUGAGGAAACUCCAAGCAUCGCCUUCGAAAUCGGACUCAUUGGCAACAUCGUUUCCAGAGCCUCCGUCAGACCAUCGGAGAUGAUAGGGUGGCUGGAGAAAUGGCGACGUGGAUGAGAAUCCGAUUGAAGGGACGAUUAAAGGUUAGUCCUUUACCCGCUCAGAUAAGAUCAAGUAGUUGAGUUUUCGGCAAUGGUGGGAGAUUCUGAUUUAUAGUUGGCUGCUUCGAAGAACCCUAAUUUUUCCUAUCUAUAAUUUCCCAUUGUUACCCUUCAAAGUCUGUCGUUAUUACGAUUAUGGUUUUGGGCUGGCAUUCUCUUUGGUAUUUGAUGAUUUAUAUCCCUAGUGUUAUUAAGCCAUUUUUCAAAGCAUUCCAGCUAUGUAAUGUCAUGCUUUUUCAUAAAAUGAUUAAUCAAAUGAAUUUAAAGUUUAGAAGCAUCUUUUAGGAGAUUUGAUGAUAAAAAGUGUAUUCAUUAAGUAAGAGGGAACAUUUUUUCGAAAUCUAAAUGCGAGAGGAGAUUGAGCUUUAAGGAGUUUAGGCUUUUUAAUUUAGUUUUAUUAGCGAAACAAGGAUAGCAUAUAUUAAACAAUAAAGACCUCUUAUGGGUUAAAUUUCUCAAAGCAUUGUACUUUCUUAAUUCAAAUUUCUUUAACGCCUUUAAAGAAAGGAAAUCUUCAUGAAUUUGGUCAAGUUUGUGUGAAGCUAGAGAGGUCCUCGAGUUGUUUGUUCUUAAUAAUUAAGAUCUCACACCCACCAUUUUUACCAAAAAAUAAUAUCCAUAACUAAUAAUGUGACCUUACUAACCCAAUACACAAUUAAAUUAACCCGCCUAUUUGACAACUCUCUCGAAAAUAGUUUCCCUUGUCUCCAAAACCCAUAUGAAAGAAAUCAUCAUUAGGCAAUAUGGGUGGUUUUGUUUUGUUAUAGAACAAAUUGAGCCAUAAAUUUGAUUAGCAAAAUCUUCAAGUACCCCAUUUCCACAACUGUAAAACCUACCUAGGAAUCAAUAGGAACCAACAAAAAAAUAUGGGGAAAAUGAAUCAUCAAUCCUCUUUUAGCCAUAUUCUUCUUCUUGAUUCUUCCCAAACACCAAAUCUUUUGUCAACAAAUACCCCAUCCAUUGAGGAUGAUCAUCAGCACCCACCUCCUGUAUCCUUAAGGUAAUUGGAGGAAGAAUAUGCACGUCAAAUGUUCGAUAAAAUGUGUUGAUCGUUUUAUUUGAUAGAAUUUGUGAAUGUUUUGGGAUGAGAAUUUUGUUUCGUUUUCUGCGUUCUGGUCAAAAUUUUUGUUCUUCUUUUCUUCUGUUAUGUCAUGUUAGCAUGAAUGCAUCGAUGGUAGAAAAAAUUAUAUAUGGAUGUAUUAUCGUUCAUGUAAAUAGUUUGAAAUGAGAAUUUUAUAUCUUUUUUGGGUUCGAGUCGAAAUUCGUUUAUUCUUUCAUCUCAUGUGUAUAUCGAGCUGAUGGCUUGACAAAAUAUGCAUGCAAAUUGUUCGAUGAAAUGUCUUAAUAUGAUAUUGGUUUCGUUAUUUGAAAUUUUUUAAAAUUCUAGUCAAAAUAUUCUCUUUUUUUCUGGUAGUUUUAUGGGGUUUUAUUCAAAAUUUUAUCUUUUUAUUUUUUUUAUCUUGUGUUUAUUUUUGAGUGUGAAUGGAUGAUAAUACGUUCAUAUCAAUUAUUCGAUGAAAUGCAAAAAUUACGUUGAAUCUCGUAAAUAUUUUGAAAUGGCUUUUCUCUUAUUGGCUUUGAUCAAUAUUUUUUGAUAUCAUGUUUAUAUUGAGCAUGAAGGCAGACAUGCACUGUUCGACAAAAUAUAUCGCAUUAAUCAUACUAUUUUGUUCUAAAAGAUCCUAAAAAUAAAUGUUUUUAACUCAAUCUUAAUUGAUAUUUUCUUUUUUAGAUUGUCUUUCGAUCAAAAAGGAAGAUGGCGGAUACAGUGGUGGACCAGUACUGGUGUCACAUGUGCGGCCACACAGUGAGCCCAGUAAUGGAACCCGAAAUCAAAUGCCCCAUCUGCGAGAGUGGGUUUGUGGAAGAGGUCUCUCCCAACAGCAACCUCACCACCACCAUAACCAAUUUCGACGGCGAAAACAACAACAACAAUAACGAAAAUACUAAUCCCGAUAUCGGCAUUAAUGGUACUAAUGAAAAUGGAUUCGAUGCGGAAUCAGAAUCGGAACGCGCAUUCUCUCUUUGGGCGCCCAUCUUUCUAGGGCUAAUGGAUGGCUUGGGUGCCUAUCGCCCAACUCUGGCUCUCUCUAGCAAUGCCAUCACCACCAACGAAGCUCAACAAAGUGAGCAACAUCAACAACAACUGGAUAGGGAGUUUGAGUCACUCCUUAGGAGGAGAAGGACUCGAAGCUCCAUUUCGAUCCUUCGCUUGCUCCACGACAUUCGUGCCAGGGCCGAAACCAACCACCAUGGCCAGGAAACUGAUGAUCAUGGUAGUCAAAAUCGAGAUUCCAGGAAUAGCAGGUUGAUUCUGGUCGAUCCGUUCAACGAAGGUGCAUUGAUACUCCACGGACCAACUGAGCCAGCUCGGCCCGAGAGCAUUGCUGCUCGAUCAUUCGCGGACUACCUCGUAGGUCCCGGGCUAGACUUGUUGCUUCAGCAUUUGGCUGAGAAUGAUCCCAACCGGUAUGGCACUCCACCGGCUCAGAAGGAAGCAGUCGACGCAAUGCCAACAAUUACGGUCGAAGACAACCUCCAAUGCGCUGUCUGCCUUGAGGAUUUCGAGCUCGGGAGUGAGGCCAAGGAGAUGCCUUGUAAGCACAAGUUCCAUGAAGGGUGCAUCCAUCCUUGGCUCGAGCUCCACAGCUCUUGCCCGGUUUGUAGGUUCCAGAUUCCUACAUCGGAUCAAGGUAGUUAAAAUCGCGAUUUCAUAUCUUAACAUGCUACGGUUCUCAUAUAGCGAUUACUAUGCAGCUGAUGAAUCGAAGACAGAGUCGAAUGCGAGUGGUGGAGGUGAUGGUGAUAGUAAUAGCAACAACCCGAGAUCGGGCGAAAGAUCAAGGCAGCAUAUGUUUCCAUUUCCAUUCAACGGUUCGCUUUCGUUCCUGAGGCCACCGAGCGGCAUUGGUACUACUUCAUCAGCAUCGGGAUCGACAUCAGAUUCUUCGCCCGUUGUGCAUCUGUUGGGAGAUUCCUCUACUCGUAGUAGUGACGAACCCGGAGGACGAGGACGAGGACAUCAUGAGUUGCCUUGAGCAGGAAGAAAAGGGGACUUUUUUUUGCAACAAACAGAAAACAGUACCGAUGUGGAUGGUCUUACCGUAAACUAUUUAUCAAUACGGUCUAGCGUUAACUGUUUAAGUGAUCGAACCACAUGCCAUUAACGUGUCGGUACGAGUUUAUCCGUUUGUUAUAUGCCUCUCUUGUUUUGUUAAUAUUUGUAACCUUUUUUCCUUCCCCUUUUUUUCUGGCUCAAAGAGCUUAUUAAUGUUGUUAUUCCUUCAGGGAAAUCUUGUUAAAUGAAAAGAGUUCAUGCAAAAACUUACCAUUAAGGACGAACCGGUUCGGAAUGGACUGUUUGGUUUUGACUUGAAAAACUUCGAACCUUUCGUCAUGCUGGGCCGAUUUGUUAAAAACCCUAUCUUUAAGAAAGCUACCGGCUUGAAGGCAUUGAACCGUUCGAGCUGGUUUGUGUUGUUCAUUGACUCAACUCAAAAAUAAGAUGAUGAAUCCUUAUAUGACUCGUGAACAUAAAUCAUUGAGUUGGAUAAUCAUGAAUACCGAAUCACAAGGUUCGACCGGGAUCUUUGACCCUAAAAUCAUUACUGAACCUAUCAGAACGACAUCGUUUUUAAAACUGAGUCACAAAACUGGGAGAUUUGUUUAUCUGAGGCUAAAGCAUCGAGAACUGUGAAUCCACUGCUACUCAGCUGGAGAAAGCUCUCUUCCGGCCACCGCCGAAUCAGUAUAAGAAGAAACCCCCACUUCUCACGGUGACGAUUCCGGCGGAAAAAACAGAGAAUAAGCUUCCAGAUUCAUGCUUAUACCAGUAAGUUGUGUUUCUUAAUCGUUCCUUUUUUAGGGCGAAUGAGCUCCAGCCUUCUUAAUUUUCAAUCUCUCAACAGAUUUCUCGAUUAUCGUUGUUUUCCUGUUCGUGGGUUUUGUUUAUUUGAUCUGGAAACGUAAGGAUUGAGCGGAAGAUAUGCAGACAACUUGUCAUCUCCGUCCAAUUUUCCACUUCUCCAGUCGGUACAAUUUUUAUUUUUUUCAUUCCUUUUGUUUUCCAUUGUUUGAAUUCUGAAUUGCAAAAUCUGAUUUUGUUUUGUUUGUUUGCAGAAGGAGUGUUGUGAAUCCAAUUGGGUAUGCGAAAGUUACGAACUUGAAUCGAAAUCGACUCUUCUUAACUCAGCUUUACAAGCAACAACCCGGUUUUCGAGCUAGAGCGAUCGAUGGCCGUCCACCGAUUUCAAUGCUCGAAGAAUCAGAAGAAGAAGAAUUAGAACAAGACGAUGGAAGCUCGAUGAAUCACACAAUCGACGAGCCACCGUUCUCGAAAUGGUCACCUCCAGAGUACAUAUGGAGGGGGCUAUCAGUGUUUGUAUUAGCAGGUCAAGUGAUCCAACGCACACUAACUGGUAAAAUCCACUGGAGGAACACAUUACAGCAGCUCGAAAGAGUUGGGCCGAAAUCCGUCGGAGUCUGUCUCUUAACAGCAGCAUUCGUCGGGAUGGCGUUCACGAUCCAGUUCGUCCGCGAGUUCACGAGACUCGGCUUGAAUCGAGCCGUCGGUGGAGUCCUCGCCCUCGCGUUCUCGCGCGAGCUAAGCCCCGUCGUAACCUCGAUCGUGGUUGCUGGACGAAUGGGGAGCGCCUUCGCCGCCGAAUUGGGAACAAUGCAGGUCUCCGAGCAGACCGACACACUGAGAGUUCUUGGAGCGAACCCCGUCGACUAUCUUGUUACUCCUCGAGUUAUCGCUCUGUGUAUCGCUCUGCCGUUCUUGACACUGAUGUGUUUCACGGUAGGCAUGGCGUCCAGCGCCUUGCUGGCGGAUAGUGUUUACGGCGUUAGCAUUAACAUCAUAAUGGAUUCAGCUCACCGAGCACUGAGGUCGUGGGACUUGGUCAGCGCAAUGAUCAAGUCGGUUUGCUUUGGCGGGAUCAUAUCGACGGUGAGCUGUGCUUGGGGGAUUACUACGAUAGGCGGCGCAAAGGGUGUGGGUGAGUCGACGACUUCUGCAGUUGUCAUCUCGCUCGUUGGAAUCUUCGUUGCCGAUUUCCUGCUUUCUUCGCUGUUUUUCCAAGGAGCUGGGGACUCUCUAAAGAAGCUUUAGUCAGUCACUGUUAGUUUGCUGCAAUUUUCUCACUGUGUUACUGGUAGUUUUAGCAUCGAACUUUCUUCGAAUGUUUUUCGAGUCAUCCAAUUGUUGCCAAAAGAAAUGCAGAUAUUGUUUCGACAAAACCAUUCAUCUCUUGCAAUAUGGAAGCUAUAUACCAGUCUUCGUGAAAUUGUAACGUACCAGUUGAAAGAACUGUAAUAGAGCCAUUCAGCAGUCGAAAAAACAGACAGGCAGUUCCCGUUUCAGCAGAUCACACAAGUAAUCAUAUGACUGUAACUUGAAGAAUAAGAAAGAACAAAAAACACGGUUCGAUUGAACUACAGGAAGUGAAUCUUAUUGUUGCCAUAUACAACAGAUGCAACAACAAAAAGGACAGUAGUAUUAUGAACAUGUGCAAGAAACUCCUUCAGAAAUCAGAAGCCAGCCAUUUUCAGCAGCUUUUUACUUGUCUGUCAAAACUUGGAAGCUGAGACAAGAAUGUCUCUAUGCAUAGAGCUUUCACAAGGUUGAAGAGCUCUGUGACCUAUGCACUUUGUCUUCUCGAGGAGGAUGUAGCGAGGUCGAUGGUGAAGCUGCUGCAUAGUACCCAGAAGAAGUUAGCUGGGCUACUGCCGGAAGCACACCACCUGCAAAUUCUCAAGAUACAGAUAGAUCUCGGGUUAACAAAUUUUCAUGCAAGACCGAAGCUUUUGCAGACAAAAACGCAAUCAAGUGACUGAUUAGAACAUCUCGUAAACUUCUGACAGUAGAACUUAAUGAAUUUAGAGCAAUGGGACUGUAGAUUCAAUCGGUCUGUUACUAAACAGUUUCGACAACGAACAGAAUCCAGAAUCAGUAAGAAACGUAAAAGUUAAAUCUAUUAAGAACAUUUAUAUAUGUAAAACCUAUGGGUAAUGGGAAAGCACAGCUCACCUGCAAAUCCUGCGCAAGCUGAGGCGAACACUAUCACUGGAGGUGCCUGCCAUAUGGACAACGAAAAUCGAUAAGAAUCGCAUUCUGGUUUCUAUACAAGUCCGGAAUGUAUCCUAAUCUAACGACCAGGAUAAUUAAUCAUCACGACACUGAAAACUAACGGACCAAUCAAAUGCGGAUCGAGUAUCGAAAAUGGACUUACACCAAUGAAGAAAUGCACCCACAUUGGUCCUUUUACGUACUUCUGAACUACCGGCAUCACUGCAUAACCAAAAAUCGUAUGCAUUAGACAGUACGACGAAUCAUCAGAUCAUCCGAACACAAUACUGAAACCCUAAUUAACACAAUCUUGCGUUGUUAAUUACCAUGAUUAAAUCCAUAGAAGGUGCUAGCUGUGCCACCAACAGCAGUUCCAAUCUGAACCCCAAAACAACAACAAAGGGAGAUAUUUGUUCACAUUCAUUGCUCCAAAUUCACAAAUCAAGCCCUAAUUAAACCAACCCAUCACUAAUUUGGGCAUUCAUCAUUACACUGAAAACUUCCGACGAUUGAAUUAGCAGCCAAUUUCACCGCGAGACUGAAAGAAAAGACGAAAAGAGAGCUAUCGUUACCAUGGAGAAACUGUCUCUGAGCAGAGGCCGAAUUGUCCAGCAGCUGGUUUCCUGCAACGAAAGAACGAACACGAAUCGCCGUUUUUUACAAUAUGAUCCAAUGAAGAACGGAAAAAAGGAGAUGAAUUGAAAACAAAGAAAUGAACUUGGACGAACCGCUUGCUUGGUUAGAGGGCCGGCGCAGUGAUGGCAGCGUAAGUCGCUGAGAAGCUCUGAUCUUGAAUUCGCCAUUAGUGACCUUCGUCUGUGAACAGGAAACCCUUUCAGCUUGGGCUCGGUGCGGUUUCAGUUGAGUGAAUAUCAACGAAUGUGAAGAGUAAAUAGUAAUCACUCAAUAACAAAUUUUUGUAUAUAGCGGUUUGGGUUGACUUGAUAUCGAUUUGAUUAUUCGAGCAUGGACCUUCCUACGAAAACCAUACUUUUGAAACCUAACAACCUAUGAUCUAUCCCCCACGUCCAAAAAUUCGACUUUACUCACCGAUCACUUUCCAUAAACCUAAUGUUAUUAACGGAUUUAUUAAUCGAUCAUAAACAAUCGUCUUCCAUAAUCCAUAUGGACUAUUACCUUGUAUCCAUAAUGCCUAUUGUUGCCAUCAACGUUUAGUUCUUGAAAAAGAAAAGAAUUGGAUGGAGCAGAUUCCCUAUCUAAGAACCGUAUUGAAAUUAGAGUUUAUGGUUUUGAUGGUCAAAUCAUGAAAUAACUGUUCCGAUUCAUCAUUUUAAUGAAAAAUUUUAUUUUCCAAUCCUCCGUAUUAUCAUACUUAAAAUCUAAUUCAACUCAUAUUUAAGAUCACAAUUGAGUAUCAACUCAGGUCACAAUCACCUACCUAAUGCGUUAUAACCAUGGUCCAUCAAUGCUUCCACCACUAACCAAAGACAUUCCCUUCUACCACGAGUAGUAUUUUUAAUCAAACCGAAUCGACCCCUACUUCAUCCUGCCGAACUCGUUCAAUCAAACCGAAUCGAACCGCAAGGCCAAACAAAGCCCACUCCUCCCUCAACAACCGGCCCAAAUCACAAUCCACCCCAUUACCGAUCCACAACUCCGAAACCGCCGCGGAUAACCUGCAACAGCCGGUAACACCUCCUCACACAAUCCUUCAGUCAACCGGUUUACCCAGCGGCCCCUAUAAAUACCCCUCCCCUAGGGUACAUAAACCAACCCACCGCUUCAACCAUUCUCCAGCUUCCGUUUUCUCUCUCCUCAUCGCUCUCCCCCUUUACCUUUCUCUUCUCCCAGAAACAAAUCCCUAAUCGCCGCCUCCUCCGAUCCUCUUAUCAAAAUCCUCUCAAGCCCUAUAAAAGAACAACCAAUUCGAAAUCUCAUUUCCCUCCCUCUUACUUUUCCCUCCCCCAAUCACCGAUCUAUUCCUUCACUGUUGCACACGAUUUCACGUAUUCAAACCCUAGGUUAUCGUUUUUGCAAUUCUUGAUCUGAUUCGAUCUGGUGAAAAGGGAAAGGAGAACAACCUAGAUUAGGCUCGGAUCUUGACUUUUAGGGGGAAACAAAAAGAGGGUUGUUGUUAUUAAUGGCGGAACAAGGAGGAUUGGAAGGGGCUCAGCCUGUUGAUAUUUCCAAGCAUCCUUCUGGGAUUGUUCCGACCUUACAGUGAGUGGUUUUUUCGGAUUUCUUUCUUGUUACCUUCCUUGGUUAUUGGGUUUGGGUGUUUAAUGUGAUUUGGCGUGUAGGAAUAUUGUGUCGACGGUGAACUUGGAUUGCAAGUUGGAUCUCAAGCAGAUCGCUCUCCAAGCUCGCAAUGCGGAGUAUAACCCUAAAGUAUGUCGAAAUUUUAGGGUUUUGAUAGUGUGAAAAAAAGGAAAAUCGGGAGGUCUGUGAUGUAUGUGUUCUUGUGUUCGAGGCUUUUGGCGGCUUUUGAUUACACUGAUGAUUAUAAGUGUUUGUGUGCCAGCGUUUUGCUGCUGUUAUUAUGAGGAUCAGGGACCCUAAAACUACUGCGCUCAUUUUCGCAUCGGGGAAGAUGGUAAGCUUGCUGAUCCUCAAUUCUUACAUCGGUGAAGUGGGUUGCUUAAAUUGAGUACUUUUUGCAAUCUGUUAGUCAAAUACUGUAAUGGGUUUGUUUGUUAUCUAUCAAUCUUCACUGCCCUUAGUUGUAUACCAACAAUUCAGUUCACUGUUACCUUGACUCAAAUGCAACUAGUUACAAACAAUAAUAACUAGUUAUCUUUGCUAGUUUGUUUUCUCUUCCUUGUCUGCUUUUUGACAUGGUAAGCUUGAUGAUGUUUUAGUUCUUUUUACUGAUGAAAAGUCUGUGUUGAUCACCUAUCAGGUGUGUACGGGUGCUAAAAGUGAGCAACAGUCUAAAUUGGCAGCGAGAAAGGUGAGUUUUGUUACCUCUGAGAUGGGUUCAAGUAGGGUGUAGUUAAGUAUGUUUUCGAAACUGAUUUUUGAGAUGCUAUGUUGUUUUCCAGUAUGCUCGAAUCAUUCAGAAGCUUGGCUUUCCAGCAAAAUUCAAGGUUUGAUUUCCCUCUCCCUAGUUGCUACUCCUUUGCAAUGUGUAUGAUUUCUGAAGUUGGAAUUUCAGAUUUAACCUUUUUUGCGAAACUUUUGAUAGGACUUCAAGAUCCAAAACAUAGUCGGCUCAUGUGAUGUGAAGUUCCCUAUUAGGCUAGAAGGUCUCGCUUACUCCCACGGUGCUUUCUCAAGUGUAUGUUGCUUAAUCUUGUUAACUUACAAUCAAAAGUCAUAUCAGUUAAUCCAAUGUUCUAUUGUUUCUUAUGGUUUGCAUUUGUAUUUCCAUACCAGUACGAGCCCGAGCUGUUCCCGGGGCUGAUUUAUCGAAUGAAACAGCCGAAGAUUGUUCUCCUCAUUUUCGUCUCUGGCAAGAUCGUGAUUACAGGAGCUAAGGUCAGAGAUGAGACCUAUACAGCAUUCGAGAACAUAUAUCCUGUGCUUACGGAGUUUCGGAAAGUGCAGCAAUGGUAUGUUGCUCUUGCUCUUUCUUUCAUUCUCUCCUCUUAACUUUCUCUAGCUUGUGAUCUUAACGGUUACCCUUUGUUUGCUCGUGUAGAUACGCUUUCCAUCGUGUGGAGAGAGCUUUCGUUCUCGAAAUUUGGCUGGCAUUUCAACCUUUUUCCUACUUCCUUCACAUCUAAAGAAGAAGAAACUACGAAAAAUGCACGGGGGAGGAGUGUCGAAUGUUUGUAUGUCAUCUGGGAACUCAUUAGCCUACUUGGAGACAGUUUCAUAUGUAAUGUUCCAAAACUGUUCUCAGAGACUAAAAGAAUGAAGAAAUUGAAGAUGAGAAAAUGGAAGAAAUAGUUCCAAUUUUGCCAUUGAACAUUCGUGAAUAUUAGCUGGAAAAAAAUGUAGUUUGUUCAAAAAGAAAGGGUUUAUUUUGUCUUUCCUGUUCUUACUUAUGGGAUUAUCUUCAAGUUCACGUAAGGAUUCUUGGAUUUCAAGUUUGUUACUGUCCUUAGGUUUAUUUCUGGCAUUUAUGUUACAACUAUAUUGAUCGAGUAAUCCAACCGGUUAUAAAUUGAUCGAGUCUCCCUCGUUAAGAACUGGAGCAUCGAACUUGUUACCUUAACAGAAAUCCUAGUGGUUAGAAGAGUAGAUCAAGAAGAUGAUUGCAUACCAAUACUAUUAACCAGAAAGCUCAGUACAUAGAUCAAUCGAAAACGAAUGACUCGAACCAAGUCGGAGAGAUUACCCGUAACAGAGUACGUACAGAAACUGAACGACGAGCAAGCUCGCGAGACUCAAGCAAGUAACUACACCAAACGAUCUCACCAAUUCACAUGCUAUCAUUGUCAUCCUUCUUUGUUCCAGUGCGCCGGGCUUGAGCAGCAACCGCUACUACCAAUCAUUCGAUACCAAACCAAUCGGUCUAUAGGAAAAACUGUAAGAACUUGAAAAAAUAUAACUCACGUCUAUAGAGAGGACAAACAGUCUCUAUGUUACCGGUUACAUACCCAAUCGAGUUUUCUUUCUAUACCAAAGCAAGUGAUGAUACCAACAACGACACGACCAACAAGACCAGACCGAUUCUCAUCGAUGGAACCGAAGCGGUCUCGAUCUGGAUGAUGAAAUUGCAGUUAUUCUGAGAUAUGUUCUGCGUGGUAACAGUGGCUAGGCCUUCGAAAUUGCAGGCCAAGUCGUCCUGGUUCUGCACCUGGUAGUACAUGUUGAAAGCAUACGAUGCGUUCCCGUUGGCAUCAAGCCCGUUGCACGAGGAUCCAUACCCGAGCGCGGUGCAGUCGGAGAAGGUACAUGCGUAGUUGAUGUUAUCAGCAAGCUUGCUGAGAUCUUUAGCAUUUGGAUUGAACACACACCACUUUGCUGGGAGGUAGUCCACUCCUUUCGCGCCCACAAGAAACCGGUUCUGCCCUUGUCCUGAAAUAAUUGAGGAGUCUGUUACAAAAAUCGGUUAAUCCGAUACAAACGAAAAUUCGAAACCAGAUCGGAUUUACCAUACCUGAAAGAUCAAGCGCAAACUUAGGUUGUCCAUCGUACCGAAAGAUGCCCCAAUGCCGCUCAAAGCUCCCGGGAGCAAUGCUCUUGGCAUCUUCAUCUAAAAGGCCGAACAAGUAAACCUCGAUGAACCCCGGUCGAAGAGGAGUCCCUUUAUUCGCAGCGAGCCGCGGCAUAAGCCCGUUAUAGAACCUAUAAGCAUUGCCAAUAUUACCAUUCUUAUCUCCAUCAGUAGGCCACCCCACUUCCCCAACUAUGAUAGUCAUGUCUCCGAAUCCGGCAGCCUUUAAAGCGGAAACCAAAGUGUCAAAAUUCGCAUCGAAAACGUUCGUGUACUGAAUCCCGGACCCCCGGUCCACUACCGGCUGAGUCACACCGUCGAAGAACGCGUAGUUGAAAGGGAAAUCGUCGUUCCCGUAGAGGCUUAGGAACGGGUAGAUGUUGACCGUGAAGGGGGCCUUGUUCCGGACCAUGAAUUGGACCAUCGCGGUCAUUAGGUCGUUGAUGUCUGGCCGGAACCUUCCGGCUGAGGGGUAAGGCUGGUCGUCGGGGGAGAAGUAGACGUCUGCAUUUAAGGGGACGGUGGCUUUGAUGUUGCCGAAAUUCGCCUCGUUUAAGGCGUUCUGGAUGUUCUGGAGUGCCGGAAAUGUGAUGCUUUCGAAUGUUCCGUUGUAUGUCUUGAGGAAUGGUUCGUUCCCAACUGCUACAUACCUGUUACAGUUAGAAAUUUUUAGGGAUGCAUGAAAUCAAGCUGGUACGGUACCGUGGUCGAACUGGUAAGACUAAUAGUUUUUAAGAUGGUUCGAACUCAACCAUAAAAAUCAUAACGUAACUGUAAUGAACCAGGUGUUGAUCAAAUGUCAGGCAACUCGAUCGAACCAGCAAGAUUAACGACAUGAUCGGACAGUACCGACUCGAUCCUAUUGAAGGCUGAACCGGUAAGACUAAUCGUUCAAGAUUCAACGACAAAAAGAACCCGUAAUCAUGACAGAACUGUAACAAAGCGUUCGAAACAACCAAACUCCCAUAUAAGCAUUUCCCAAUCUCCCCUCACCGCGAUAAACCAUAGCGUCCCAAUAACUCGAAUCAUUAGAAUGCAAAGAUUCUCCACAUGACACCAGAGGCCUUGAUAACAAAGAUGUCUUCUUUUCGAAUCCCGAAAGGCCCCAAUCUCUUGCACAAAGACAAUACCGAAACUGUGCAAAAUUCAAACUUCCCCGACAGCCUUCCGUUCAAGACACAUGUUACUAAACAAUAUAGAAAAAACCAAUCUUUCCACCUCUCCCAACAACUCGAAUUAUCAGGAACACAACAGUUCAUAUAGAAACCAAUCACCAACCUCAAGCUUGUCAGCUCGAGUGUAUCGUGAUAGCACCAGUCUCACCGAAACUGCACAAACUCCAUACUAUCCCGAGAGAACUUCGGUUCGAGAGCACAUAUUAACAAACAACAUAAAAAAACAAUCUUCCCACCUCUCCCAACAACCCGAAUCACCAGAAGACAACAAUGAUUCACAUAGAAAACUAAACACCAACCCUCCCCGGCAAACUCGAAUUAUAGGGACGUAACGGUAACUCACUUGAUAUUGACGCCGCCAUUGAAGACAUAGCGGGAGAUGUUCCGCUUGACCCAAUCCUGAGCGUUGCCAUAGCGAGUCAUGGACUGGAGCUGAUCAUUAGGGAUAGCCACCAUAACUUCCAGACUGCUCCCAGCAAGAGCAUUCAUGGUGUUGGCAUCAGCAUCAAACAGCUUCACCUUCUGAAUCCCAUUGUCUUCCAGAAGCUUCACCACAGCCUUCGGAUCCAGCUUGUGUGACGCCAUAGUCCCCCAAUUCACUCCCAAUCCAUCCACAGCGCUCAAUAUCCAUAGUAACACCAUCGCCCAAAUUGAAAUCCUCCCCAUAUAUUUUUGCUUCAAAGUUGUAAACUUCAAAGAGAAAGGAAUUGGAUUCCUGACUUUACAGAGGAAAGGUUUCAAUUUCCGAAAAGGAAUUGGAACAAAGCAGAACUUUUUUUGGAGAUUCGUAAGCUUAGGAAAUUGAAAAGAAUUAGGGUUAGUAAAUUCAAAUUAAUAAAGGAAGAGAGAAAAAGGAAACAUAGCAGUAAUGGCGGCGACUGUACAGAGAGCUAAUCAAGUAAUCAGAUGAGGAUUCUACUAUAUGGGUUUUCUUCAGAUUGAAAAACUCAUAGAGAAAGUGACAGCCGUUUCCCCAGAAGAUGGGAGCUGGACACUGAAGCAACUCGAAAAAAAGAAUGGCUGGCAUUAAUGGAGGUUUGAGUUUAGGACCAAUCAGAUGAUCGGGGGUUUCUUAGUUUUCUUCAGAUUGAAGAAAUCUCAGUUUCUUUUACUGAGAAGAUGUGAGCUAGAGAGCUCUGAUGAACACUCACUGCAAAGCUUAAGCUGGAAAAAUGGAAGAAUCAGAGGAUAUAGUUAGAAGGUGGAGGGAAAAGGUUAAAGAAGAGAUCUUUUGAGAGAUUUAAGUUUCCAGGUGGACAAUGGAUCUGAGAGAGGUUUCUUUUUGAAAGUUGAGAGGUUGAAGAUGGGAAAUGGAGGAUUUUUGGGUGAACGUGGUGGAGAUGACGUAACGGAUGAUAGAGAGUUUAUUUAUUUAUAGCAAAAAUUAAUAAUAAAAACAACAUUAAUGGAAACAAAACCACGUCACUUCCCUUGAACGGUCUGGUACGAUAUGUGCAUAUAUUUCAAUAUCUUUUAAGUGUUUAUCAUUAAUGUUUAUCGUGUUCGAACCGAAUGGGUUUUGAUGGAUGAUCGUAAGUUGUAACAACGGUUGACAUUGUGAUCUCUUAACUUUGAACUCUAGAACAAUACGAUGCACGUAGCGUUCGAACAAGUAAGUUUAGUCGAAUACAAGAUAAUAAUGGUUUCGUCCACUUUCGUCAUAUUUUCAAUAUUAAUUCGAAGAGAAUCACAAAUUGAACCUAACGAAAAGAGAGGUUUGACUGAGAUUGACGUUCUAGACGCUCGUUCAUAAAAAUCUCACAUUCCCAUACACGUUCAUUCAAACUAAACAUAGCAAACAUAAUAAUUCAAUCAAUUUUGUUCAAAUAAAACAAAAAUUUGGAUUUGAUCUUAAGUUCCUAACUAUAUUAAUAUUGUUUUGUAAGAAACUCGAUCAACGGCGGAACCAGAAUUCGUGAUAGGAAAAAGGGGUGGCCAAGUUUAUUGGAAAGUAUGUUGGCCAGUUGGUUACCGACAUAAAGCAGUUGUUCACACCUUUGGUUUCUUUAUUUGAUUUCCUACUCAUUCCUACGUUGCAGUCCGACUUCAUUUCUUUAUCUCUACAACAACCAAUUGGAUUUCAUCGACCACAAUCUUCUAGUCAACAAGACAACCAUCACAGUCGUUCUGCAGUUGCAGUUGGUGUCCUUCCUUGUUCAUAUGUUGCUGAAUGCACCUCCACUGAGACUAAGAUCCUGAGUUGAAGUAGAAGAUGGGGUGGUACUAGUUCAUUUGCUGCUACUAGUAGAGCCUCUGGGGACAGCUAAUGCAUUAUUGGAACAGCUAAUACAGAUCUGAGUGCAUAAAAAGCUUCUUGAUGAACUCUUGAAACAGGAGGAUAUUAUGCUUACAAUUUCAAACAGUUGAUUGAUAUGGUUAUUGAUAAAGGUCAAUUCCAUUUAUUUAUAGGUACUCAAAGAUAACAGACAUGAUUCAGGGCGGUUUAAUGUUGGGGAUUGUUAUCUUGUAGGAGUUGUAGUAAAUUAUGUUUUCAGGACGAUUGAUAUAGAGAUUUAUCCUUCAGCAGCUACUUCUGCUGCAAUGCUUUAUCAUCCGAUGCAGGGUCAGUAUCUCAACUUCUCAAGAAAAAAAAUUGUUAUUACAACAUUGACCAUGAUGAUGAUGAUGAUGAUGUCGCGAUCGCACAUCCUUACACUAUUUAUGUACUUUUGUUCAAGAGCAUGGCCGGAGCUGGUCGGGACCGAGGGAGGGAGCCUGGGCGCGGGCCGCCACGACCGUUACCGAAGGAGGUCUUCUGACAGCGGAUGUCCGCUACGAUAGGGUUUGAGUCUUUGUCGUAUCGGUUAAACCCGAUCCCACUCCCCUCCUCUCAAACAAAUUCUGUUGUCUCUACUAGUGUUCAUACGUUGGCUGGACAAUCUCGCCUGUUUGCGUUACUUACGGGUCAUUAAUGGUAGAAGUAGUUUUUGGAUAAAAUUUCGUCUACGACAAUAUAAUUCUUCAGUAUAUUUACUUGAGCACAAAAUUCAGGUCAACGGGUUCGAUAAUCAAUAAGUUUGGUCUAAUUGGGUUGUGGGUUAAACGAGUUACAAGCAAACUGGUCACGAUCAAACAUUUCGUGGAUUCAUCAGGUCGCAAAUUGAACACACAUUGUUGAAUUUUUCGGUCAGUUCAGGUUAUGAAUCGUACAACAUCGAACUGGAUUGAAACGGCACUUUGUGCAACCGGGUCUUUGUGGGUUCAUUUGAAUCGUCACAUGCAAUGCUUUCAUGUGAUCCGGACUUUGUGCUGCUCAUACUUUUAUGGACAAGUCACGCUGGCUAGAUUAUGAUCUGCAGGGUCACAUACCUCACCAUUGUGGAUAUCUCGGUUUUUGAGGAGGCAGAGUUAUGAGUUGCUGGCUUUUAUCUGGGUACGGGAAUUCGGUUGAUGAUCGAAGCGGACAAAAUUCAGCCAGUGAUCGUGUCCGAAACAAAAACCGAAGCCGUGACCUUGGCCAAAUUCAGUUCGACCAUGACCGACUGUACAUUACCAAAGUAUUAUAACCGAGCUGAAAUAUAAUUUCGACUGAUCUCAGGGAAUACAUGAACAAUAUUACAUGUGUUUUCGACAUUUAACUCGUUGAUUUUAAUCCAACUUGGGUAUCUAACUUACUGAUUUCAAUCUGAUCAGACAAGAAGAUCAUCCAUGUCUGUGUGGUUUUAAGUCCGAUUCGGUGAUUGACGAAAUUGAGGCACACGGGUCCAAACUCCAACCCACAAGGCCACAACCACAGCCGAUUUCGCAUCCGAUGGCUGGGUUCCCCAUCUCCUACUUUUAGUCGAUUCGGAUCCCAGUACGGAUUGGGUCAGCCAAUGGUAAGACUAGGGCUAGGUCAGGUCAGGUGUUGGCAGCUCUACCGACAACCAAUUGAAUUGGGGACUCGAAGAAAUCUACUGUAGACAAUGAUGAAACGCGUCUGGUUAUUGAAGGAGACCUCAGAAUGCAGAUGCAAAUUAUCCUAGAAAAACAAUUAGAUGGAAAGAAACAUUGGAGGAAGAGAACAUCACUUGGAAGGAAAUGGCCAUCUCUUGACCUCUGCGCCACAUCGUCUAGACGAUCAGCUCAUCUUCAAGAUAGUUGUACUCGAAAGUGAACUCCGUCUUGAUUCGCUGACACCUGAAGAAAAAGAGAACAGAGAGAUGGUCAAAUCGAACGUCAAGGAGAAAACACAAGAGAAGUAGGUAAUCUAUGAUCAAAGAAAUCGAAAGUACCAUCCGUGUUGGUGGUCGUCGUUGGCGAUGUGGAAAUCGAAGUAGACGUACGUCCCUUGCUCGAACUCAUCAGUGGCGAGUUUGGGCUCCUCGUGUCGUUGGAACCACGUGUUGUAUUUCCUGUGAUAUCUCCACGAUCCCUUCUUCAGCUCCCUUGCAGCUAGAUAUUGCUGGUAAGUGCUCUGGCAAAACGGAAAAAUACACGCGAUGAGCAAUAAGAAAACGGAACAAUCGAUGAUACGAAAACACAAGAUUGUAUCUUGCAUCACCUGUUGGUAAUAGAACGAGAAGAACAAUGUGUCGGUGCCGUAGCUAUCUUGGGUCAACCUUUCCCAGAACCCAGGACUGUUUACAAUGGGUGCUUGAACUUGAGGGAAGCUAGAAGGCGUGACGGUCGGAUGCCUCUGCGGUAGCAGAAAGUAUUUAUAAAUUAUAAUCAGACUUUUGACGCAUUCGCCUUCUCCAGAGAUGUUAAUCAGAAAAGUUCGGAAGGAUCGUUACUGAGAUAUAGCUCCGUGCACGUUCCGAGUCUUUGGGUUGAGGUAGUUUGUGAUAAGCAGCCUCAAGAAUCUGCAAAGUGUAGCUAUUGUCCUGCACCGAACCGGGACUUACAGCAGCUGCAGCGGGAUUAUCACCAAUGGCACCAAGGUCAGCAACGCUUCUACGGCCGAUAACUCCUAAACCGCUGGAUUGCUGCGUAGAAGAUUGUAUUGGUUGCCCAGGUGAGAAAUCUGCGUCUCUUGGGACUUGAACAGGCUCUGCCAUUGAGCUUGAGACCUGGACACCGACAUCAAACACAAAUUUAACGAACACAAAAAACAAGGGGAAAAGAAUAGCCGUGGUAAGUGUUCGAUUAAUAGUGUUCUUUCACAUACAGCGUCUGUUGUGUGAAGAGCUUUGAGCUCAUCCUCACUGGCAAGACUCAUACCCAGUCCGGCCAUGGGACCAGAUUCGGAGGCCGAGUCAUCUGGUAAUUGCUGCGAUUGCUGCUGCUCGUCAAUUUUCGAAUGACCAGCAUCUGCAUAUUCGUGAACAAAAUUCAAUCCGAGCUCAACAUAUAACGAGCGGGAAAUAUCACAAUCGCUACUCAAAGAGUCUUAAAGGGUACCGCUGUUGGUUACGGAACUUGGUAUCGCACCUGGUUGACUAGACUGUUGAAGAAUUAAGCUUGGCUGCUGCAAGGUGGCAGCUGCAGGAUUGUUGAACCCUGGUGCUUGAGCACUUAGACCUAGGGCAGCUUGGGAGGAUAGAGACGAGUUUUGAGAGUUAUACUGCAAAGUAUCAAUACCGAUUUUAGUGAAACAGUACAACUGAACUUCUUUCUAAGAUAAAGGUGACCGAGUUCAAUAUUGAACUAAAUUUGCAAUAAAGAUUCGCUAAUAAACUGUAUGUGAGGAUGCUGGAUUGGACUAAACAAAAAAAAUAUCAUGCUGAAUUUAGUAAUAGCACGAAGAACACUUUGUGUCUAUAACAGACCUGUUGCAGAAGCGGGUUUUGUUGUGUCGGGAACUGCUUAUGACUGCCACCUGGAAGAGAUUGCAUGCCAAUUCCAUGGCCUUGUUGGACUUGCUGAAAACGUUGCAAGAAUUUCUCCCUCUGAUCAGGGGCUAUUUCAGUUCGAGUACGAAGUUGACCCUGGAACAAAAAUUAUCAAGUUAUUUAACAAAUCUAGUUUAGAGCUCACAUGCACUACAUUAAGGAGAAAGAGUUACCGGUUCAUUUGGAUUCUGAAAAGAACUUCCAGGUCUCCAUUGCAUACCAGGAACCGCAGGAGGAGAAAAGACUCUGCCAACUAACCCAGCACCUUCAUUACCAGAAUCUACUACAGUACCAUCAUUAGCCUUGCCAGUUUGAGACAAGAUCAUCCGAUUACUUAAUGGCGAAUUCAAAGACUGGCCCAUUCCGCUAUUCCCAAUUCUAUCAUCUGUUACCAAAAUGUUUCGCUUUGUCAUGUCAGAGACUAAAGGUACUGCACCAAGCGAUCCAUUGCUAGGAACUGUACCAGAAGUAAGAGGGGUACUAGCUGCGAGCUGGCUAGUCAGGCCACCUCGGCCAAUUCCCCUUGUUAUGCCAGCAUCACCCAGAGAGGAAGAUGGUCUAUGGCCAGGGAUUCCUGUAGUUUCUUCAUCCUUUGCAGGAUGUGUAGGAAGGGCAGGAGACGAAGGGAUAGCAAUAGCAGCAGCAUUUUCUACAGGCCCUUGAGCAGCAGUUGGACCUGGGCUAGCUACAGGAGCUGCUGGUGCAGCAGCAAAUGGAUGGGCAGGAACACUCACGGGAGUUGAAUGACUAGCAGAUGGUGUAGAUGGAACAGAAGAACCAAUGAUAGUGCUUUUUGCAGGUGGCGUUCUAGGAACAACAUCAGAAUUACUGUCUUGAGAAGCUGUAUCAUCAAGUUGCUCUGGGACAGGGGCCGCAGUACUACCGGCAGUCUGGAAAGAAUCACAACACACUAACGUAAGCAGACAAAUCACUUGACAAUAGAGUUAGCGUACAACAGUUCUUGUUGCUCAAUCCAACAUGACAUAAUGGAAAACCGGAAUGUAUCAAGGCAUCAAAAGCUUCUCACAAAAAGGAGGGUUUUCCACAACCAUAAUAAAUUGAUCUAACCACGAUCUCAAACCAACCAGUGAAUGAAGUGAACAAAUAAACAAUAUUGUUCCAAAGAUUCAACAGGGUCUGUUUCACAGCAGUGUCGGUAUCACCAUCCACAAUUUGCACUCCAUGAAGGUCAAAGUGAAGGGGAGUUGGCAUAAACUUGGCAAACUAUCACAUGAAUCAUCUUGUAUACGAGGGCCGGCUAGAAAGAUUAGGAAAUCACAUGCUUAUUGGUACCAUAACAGUUAACUUCUCCGAGCUUUGUCAAUUAUUGAAAACAUUCACGAUAGUACAGAAUAGCAGAAGAAAGUACAUACGCUUAAUUGUGGUGCGGCAGACGCCGCGUUGGGAGACUUCAGACUAUGUACAGGUACACCCUACAAUAUACAGAAAAAAAUAUAACGACUUUAACGAAACUGCUGAAAAGAGGACGCCAAAUGAUAGUAAUCAGGAAAUCGUCAGAAAAUUGGGAAGUUAACUUGUGUAACAGUCCCCCUAAGCAAAUGGCUAUCACUCAUAGAUGAACAAAACGCAAUGUAUACUCAUUUACCUUGACAAGACCAGGAGGAACAGUUGCUACAAGAUCUUCCAGAGACUCUACCUUGUCUAAUGGCAACGAGCUAUAAAGCUCAUCAACAUCACUAAAUUCAUCAAAAUCGUCCUACAAGAGAUGAUAGAACAGCAACAUAUCAAAUUAAGUAGAAAAUCCGACAAACACCUGCAUAAAAUAUCAUCCCUUUCAGUGAGCCAAAAGCAAUGCAAGGUGGCAGACCCAUCAGAAACUGGAGGUUGCAUUUGCAUCUUAAUAUGGCGGCCUCUACAGCAGUAAAUGGUAGAAUAAGACCGUACAACUAUAGAAAGAGUUGCACAAAAACCUGAUUACGCUCCACAUAGUCAUCGAUGAAAUCUUUAACAUCAUUGACCUGCUCAGCACUCAAUUCAUCGUUAUCAAGUAGCCUCAAGAUCAACUCUAACUUCAUUAUAUGAGCCUUGUGCCGUUGUAUAGAUGUCUCUAAGUGUGUCUGAGAACCCAAAGCAGGAAAAUUAAUAUCUAUAAGAUAAUAAGAAAGUUAAAAGGACUUUCUCUUUUCCCCCUACCAGUCUAGGUGGCCUUGUCUUCCCUUUCUUCACGGUAAGACCCUCCAUUUCAGCUUCGAAGCUAUCAAUCUGGGAUUCUAAUUCGCUAACCUACUCAAGAGCAAAGAAAGAAAUUGAAAUCAUUAAACCAAUACUGUGGAAUAUACAAGACUAUUUUCGUCUGCAAAAGAUUAAAAGUGCUCAAGACAUCAUGUAAACAAUCAUAAUCAAAACAGCAACUGCUAUUAACUUAGGGAGAAAUAAAUAGGAAGGACCAAUAUCUCCAAGACUCUAACAACUCCUCAUUCUUAUGGCUCAGAUUGGCAUUCCGUUCAUCAAUCAUUGGACUAAUGUCAAGUAUGCGAACUCUGUAAGAUUCAAAAUAAAUCGAAACCUGAGUUUCUGGAUCAUCAGAAUUCAAAGGUGCUGAAGAGCACUUGUAUGUUUCUUUCACAAAAUCCAUGGUCUCUUCUCACAUAGAACCGUAAUCCCAUUAAUAAAAAUAAAUAAAUAUACACCAAUGAUAUUUUCACAUACCAAGUUGUUCAACCAAUCUCUUGUCUCCGAUUUAGCCUUCUCCCUUGGAUCCUACCAACAGCAUAAUACGAACAAAUUAAACAAACGAAACACUAGCCAGAGAUAUAAUGAGAAAUAUGAUCACAAACAUUCUCAAUACUUGUUUACAAACAAAUACAUGGGUUGCAAAGAGUUUACAGAUAAAAUUGCUCAUAAAAAGAAGAGAAACCAACAAAACUUCCAUAACAAUCAUAAGAGAAAGGAAGACGAUUUUGGAUGAACCAGAAGUCCUGUCAAUCUCAUAUCUGGUUAUCUGCACACACCUAGAUUCAUCCAUACAGUAAUAAUAUGGCUAAACAUAAAGAUCUUACAGUUUUCGGUUGUUGACCAAGCCCUUCUUUUGAGAAUGCUUUUGUCUUUGUUUCCUUCUCGCAUAUCUUAAAUCUUUCCAUUUCACGUUCAAUCAGCUUACGAGCAUCCACCAGUGCCUGCUCAUAAGAGGCACUAACCUAUGCACACAGAAACCCAAAGCAAAGCAGAGACAAAAUCAGAUACUAAAUCACAGCAAGCUAUACACCAAAUAAACUAACAAAGAAGCAGUACCAAAAUAUAACAAGAGCCAAGACUUCAACCCAUCAAGAAUGAUUAUCUUAAAAAGAGAAUAAAGUAGGAAAAUGCAAGGAAACCAGAGCGCACGUCACAAUUAAACCUCCCAUUGCUCUACAUUUGAAACCCAGUUAUAAUUACUACAGACAGUUUGAUGAACGAGACAACAUAAUCCAAGAAGUGCAGCAGACAAUCAAACAACUGCUUCAUUUGAAAUAUAACUUAAGAAACAAAGUGAAGCAGGCAGCACUAAAUCUUCACCAGUAUGACAGAUUCAUUCUCUCACAAAAAACGUCUUGACAUAUACCGUUAGUAUGGACUAGCUUUAGGCAUUGACUUCAUAAUACAAAAAAAGUCUAUAAACAUUUCCAACCGCUACACUUUUCAGCAAAAGUUUUAUAUAAUUCGGGACAGAAACCACACCUUCUUAUCCUUGAUCUCACUUGACUGAAUCCAUGUCUUGAUCUGGUCUCUGUAUCUCUGCAGUUUCUUGAUCUCUUUUUUCAAGUCCGCCUCAAACUUCUCCUUCUGAUUUGCAUUGUCCGUAUCAUAAACCUAGAAAUAACAGUGCACUUACAUCAGCUAACAGCAACCCAGUCAGUUUUAUCAAAGCUUUCCAACUAAGCUGCUUCUUAUUAGAAAAUUCCGAUGGGAGUGCAUUCAAAUCUAGGAAAUAGCAGCUGGUUCAAAUUCUUAAUGCCCCAUUUAGGAAAUGCACCAGUCAUCUCCAAUUUCACUCAAAUGCGCGCAAGCUGUUCUAGAUUCAGAAACACUUCUCUCCAGGUGAAGAAAACGACUCCUAAAAUAGUCAAGUAAUCAACCCAAACAGCGAUUCUCUAAUUCCACCUGCAUUCCAGCGUUCUCAAACCGUUCCAGAGAAAUCUCAAAAGUUGGCACAAUUCCAGCUUCUUCGACAGCCAAACAGAACGAAGUGAUUCAGAAACCAAACGAGAAACAGCACAAGAGAACAGAAGCAACCUUGUUCCAGAUGCUAUCGAAGACGUCUACACCUUCCUGGACCUUCUUUAGUACCCGAUCGAUCUCCCCCUGUAGCUUCCGACUAGCUCCCAUCGCCUAACGAUCUUCAGAAUUCUCCGGUUCGUCUAGUUAUCAUCCAAAGUAAGAAUCAAAAAACGACCAGCUAAACUUGAAUCGGAGCUUCAGUUUAACGACGUAGAUCGAUUACAGGCUAUGCUGUUCUUGGAGAAUUAGGGUUUCCACCUCUCUCACUGUGGCGCAAGAUUUAGCGACGAUAACUACGAACGCGCGAGCUAAGAACACCAAGAGAAAAUUGACUCUGAAACUGUACGGAAACCGUAAAAAGUUAAAAAGCGAUAUGCUCCGGUCGGGCCGUCAUUGUCUUGAUUUUUUGGGCUUUGGCCUGGAAGACCUGGGCUUUUUUCUCUCUCUGGUUAGAAUGAAAAUGGGCCAGAACCUCAAUACUAACCGGCCUAGUUAGUAAUUACUGUACGGAUAUAAAACGAUAUUAAAAUGUGAAUAUAAAUUAUAAAUUAUUAAAAUUUCUAUUCAAUUCCUUAAAAUAUGUAUAUAAAAUGUGUAAUACAUGUUUUAUACGUGUUUAAUACGUGACGUAUCAAAUAAAUGUAAAAAAUUAAUUAGUUUUAUAAUGGUACGAGAACGGAAGUUUUAAUAAUACGUAUACGUGGAUUAUACGAAUAUUAAACGGGUUUGUGGUAGCUAGGUUGGACGGGUCCGAAGCGGGUAUUUUGAUGGUUUUCAAAACUGUCUCAGAAUGUCCAAUCAGUGAACUAAUCUUAGGUGGUUCAACCCUUAAAAUGCUAAUCAUUUACGAUCUAAUUGUGAUUAAACUGUAAUUAUAUCGUGAUAUAUAUGCUGUAUUAAUCAUUUUCAUCAUGAAACACCGUCAAACCAAAUUUCUACAUACUAGAGCAAUCAACUUCAUUGAACGACAACAUCGGUUGUUCCAAGUCGUAAGUGACCAAGAAGCCCAUCUGAGCCAAAUUACCACACCCCGGUGUCGGUCGACCGGGUAGGUACAAACGAUAGGCACGCCAUGUCAUCCGCCGUCUUCACGAACAUGUUUGCUGGCUUGAGCUCAAACUACGUUGCGACGUGGUAGCCGUCGAGACCCAAUUGCAACGUGACCGUCGGGACAUCGAUGUCGGACAGUGCGUGGUAGCAGGCAUUGCUCACGUUGUAGCACAAACCCAACGUUGCUAGUGGGUCUGCUACUCCGAUAAGUUGUUUGGUCUGAUUUUCGACUUUGAGGGCAACUUCUUCGUAGAACUUGACCGGGAGGUAGGUUAGUUGGGUCCGUACGUCCAUGAUCAUGUUAAGUACCGUCUGAUUGUCUGUGUCAAGAUCAAUGUUGUCAGAAUCUGGUUGGAUGUUAAAUCCGAAUAAAUGAGAAGUUAAAGGGUUAAAUGAUUGAACCAAUAAUAAACAUUAUUUCUAUAAUAAAAAUUAAAAAAUGAAUACCAUAUUUGUAAACAUCAAUUCGAAAUACAAACACAAUAUUAUUGUGAAUAUAGUGAUUUUAAAUUCAUAAUUGUUUAAUUCAUAAUUUAUAUCUUUAAAGUUGUCAAUGAAUUCACCACAUUAUUUUGAGUCGAGUCAAUGAAUUCCGUAAAACCGGCUACAAAGAGUCAUAAAGUUUUGGAAGUUUUAAUUGUUAAUAACAUCAAACCGGAAUAUAUUUUUAUGGGACCAAACUGGUCGGACGAAAUCUUAAGGUUGGACCGGAAGGUCGGAUUCGGUUACCUUGGGAGAACACAACCGUCUCAUUGCCGAUGCUGAUUACUGACAGAACGGAACGGUAAUCCGAGUACGGAGCGGAAAACCACAUGGACGUUGACUUUGUGCCGUUACGUUGAUCUUCAUAGUCAGCUCCAAACCCAAUCUUGCUAGUGCCGUUAUUCACAAACGGAGGGCUCAAGCAAUAAGUGAAACUCGUACUCAACGAGUACUCGUAAACGGUCAACACCAUCGAGGUGGGACCGGGCCCAAGCCCGAUGAUCCCGGACACGAGUACCGAAGCGUUGCUACUCGCGCCACCGGCACCAUAAGCGUUGAACAUCCCGCACCCGAAUGUAGUGUUGGGUAGGGGCACGGUGUCAUCAAGCGUGACAUUGUCUGUGGCGAGGAUGACAUCCGUCAGGAAGGGGCCUUCUCGUUGGAAGUAGAAACACGAGCCGAUCGAGCAGGCAGUGCCCAGAGUCGAGAACGUGCUGCUGGCGUCGUGUAAGUUAGGGGAGCACAACGGUGAGUCGCAGUGCAAGGGGGCGUAAGACAAUGAGUUGGACGGUUCGUAGUAAGGGUCGUUCUAGUCAAAACACACGAUGCACGACUUGCACUGCGUCCAUACCAAGUCGCUCAUUGUAUCGAGGACGGUGGGGUGCUGAUGGAUAUCUUCGUCAGGUAGUCUCCGUCACCCAGGAGUGACGGUAUCGCAUGACAGGUUUAUGACGACCCGUCAGAGGAAUUCAUCAAUCGGUUGACACGGCGUAUCGAACGUUGUAACGAGCUAGUUAACCGGUCAUAGUAUCGGGUAUGGGACAUGAAUGAAUCUUUGUGGAUUAUGUCAAGGGUGAUGGUAUUAGUAUUACUCUUGGUUGUUGGUAUAGCAAGAGAAGUUGGACAAAGUAGUGAACUAAGAAUAAAGAUAGCAAUUGAGAAGCUCAUUUUGUUAGCUAUGGAAUAAAUAGAUAUGGCAAUAUUGUGAUUAUGUUUACGAUAUAAUUAAACAUAUAUAUUAAUAAAUCUUAAUUUUGGAUUAAAAAUAGGCAUUAUUUCGGUUCCAAAAGAUUUGUGUGACAUAUGGUUAUUAACAAAAUAUCACGAUGAUUAAUCCUAAUUUGAGGGAACACACAUAACGUAUGAUAAAUAGUUUCAUUUUCAUUUGUCUUUUUAGAGAUCACUUUAAUCGAUCUUAUUUCGGAAUUAAUACGUAAAUUUGAAGUUUAGAGAUCAGUGUGUAGGAAGUUCAAAGUUACGGAAGUAAUUAAGUAUUUGAUACUCUUGUAUAGCUUUGAGAGGGGAAUAUAUGCAUUCAUCUCCUUUGCCUUUUCCCCUACCCAUUCUUCGAAUAAAUAAUAAUAAUAAUAAAAGCAUUGGAGGAUGAGGAACCAAAUGCAAAGGAGAUGUAAUGCAUAUGAAGAUAUUUUCCUUUUAAAAUGUUACAUUACAUGCAUGGUUGAUGGAACUAGAUUUUGGAUGGUUUUGGAAGUGCCAACAUAUGGAUCUAUGAAAAGCACAAUUCCUCCCUAUGAAGUUCUCCCCCCAUAGUUUCAAUGGUCAUUAUAGGGUUGAAUUGAUAAUGUUUUUCAAUUUUUCGUCAACUAAAAUUUGUUAAUGAGUCGAACAUGGCAAUGGUGUCGGACGAAAAUUGAUAGGCUAUAAUAGAAGGAGGUUCGUUGUCAAAGUAUGAUUGAUGGAUAUGUACCCUGUCACUCCCCGUCAAAGACGACUAUACACUCGAACGAUUUAGUGGACCGACCAAGACCAAGUUUCUGAUUCUAAAACAAAAUCACCCACUAAUAGGAUGAUGAAACCCUAAUGGGAAUCAAACCAUGAGAAGCUGUUUCACUUUUCACUUGCAGAUUACAUUGAAUUACUAUUCUUCAAAUUUUCUUCAUAGUGCACUAAAAAUUGUAGCAUAUUCUCCAAGGAUAGUGAUACCCUUUGCUUUUGUUGUUGAUAAGUGCUACUAAAUUUUCUUUCUUUUUUUGGUUGAUUUAUUUUUACCGAAGUAAAUGAUACACAAAACAUCGUUAUCUCUAAACAUAAAAUUUCCUUAAAAAAAAAGUAGCGACCCAUCAUUCGAUUUUAUUCCAUCGAACUGGUAGGCCUAGCUCACAUUACACGAAUUUGAAAAAUCUUGUGCAUAGAGCAAAAGCAUCUAACCCUUAAUUGCUAACCUUCAUCAUCCACAAUAGGUUGUGACGUCUAAGUGAAGUUUCGAACUAACAAGCUUGUUUAAUCUCUAAGUUUCAUUUACCACCUUCAUUGACCUUCGCCGACAUCAUAAUACCUUAUAGAAUUAUUAUUUGAAGAAGAUUCAUCAUUGCUAUAACUCAAUAUUUGACAAAAACUCACGUAAUAAUUCAUCUAAAAAGAACAUUCGUUACGACAAUAAAUUGUUUUAAAUGUUAGGGACUGCUUAGAUUUUCAUCAAAUGUUAAGUUACAAAGUUUACUUAGAGGCUAAAUUAGAGCAUACCACAACAUUAUCCUAUAAGGGGAAGCAUGUAUGGAUCAAAUUUGUGGAGAUUGGAAGUCACCAAUAUUGGAAAAGCAAGCAAACCAAAAGGGGUUUUGGACCAACCAACGUGCGACACGUGGACCUGUCAAGCCAAAGAGAGAAAGAGUACCCAAUGGGCAAAAAGGGAAGAACAAGUGAACUUUUGCAAAAAAAUCAAAGUGGGGGGAAAGAAGAACCUAAGAAAAUCCAUAAACAUGGCAAAGAUUCCACUCAACAUCAUAAUCAUGAAAUAGUGACUAGAAAUCAUCAAAGUAGUGGUAGGGAGAGAGAGAGGGGUUAUAGUACAAGUAGUUUGGUGUGUUUGUUAGGUACAAAAAUACAUGUGCACAAGUACGAAUGCGGAUGGCAGGGUAUCGCUUGUGGAACCAACAAAGGCAGCUAGAGAGAGGGGGUUCGGAAGCGGGUGCAGAUAGUUUGGUAUUCACAUCAAACACCCCCCCCCCCUCUCCCAUCGCGAAAAUCUAGAAGUGUGUAUGUGCUUAGAUUUGAACUCAUGGUAAUUCUAAAAAUUCGAUUUUUUAUCAUCCAAAAAUAUUGGCCAUGACCUACCCGCCAAUCAUCAUCCACUAUAUCGUCAUCCACAAUCUUCUAGUCGACAAGACAACCAUCACAGCCGUUCUGUCAUCAUUCGUCUGUCCCCCCCCCUCCCCCACCACCCUCCUACUACACUCCGACAACAGUCUCCUCGCUCUACGAUGACCCUGAUCACACCGUUCCUUUUCAUCUCUCGGCUUUCACUUAUCUACCUCCUACCUAGCGAUUGAUUGUGGUGGCAUAGCUAGUCACUCGAGGCACCCACUACUCUUUGCUUUCAAAAGUUCCCUUCUUUUUCAGCUCAACGAUAAAAAAUUAAUUUUAUGAUGGUGCUUUAUUAUUUUUUUCAUUAUACACAUUCUUUUUCAACGAAUUUUCUACCUCAACCACUAUCUAAACAAUAUUUGAACGUUACAAAUGGGUAAUUUUCAUCUAAACCUGACCCGCCGCGACCGAGAGAGGGCACCCAAAAAAGAGAAAAGGACAAGAUGGAGAUGGGGAAGGAAAGAAGGAACCCAUUUUUCGUGGCUUUGGGGCAGUGAAGAAUAACACUUUGAAAAAUUCUUGGCUUCAAGAAUAUGACUUGUUGGUUGGCUUUAGUCUUGGAGAGUUAAGAUUCUGAUUCUACUUUCUUCCCCUAAAACAGAAUCCUUCCUCACAACCCAAUAAUGAUAUCUAUUUUUUGGGUGUAUUUGAUUUGAACUCAGGACCUUCAGGUCACCGGACACAAUGCUCUACCAUUGGAACAAUUCCACUAAUCGAACAAGUUAGCUAAUUUAAAAACCCUCAAAACUAAACAUAACACCAUUACUAUACAGUCUUAAAAAAAUAUGUUUUAACUUUAUUUGAUUAUUAUUUAGAGUGGUUAACCUAAUGAAAUUUAAAUUUUUAGUCAUUUUCAACAAGUAUGUGAAAUAUUAGUCAAAAUUUAUAAAUUUUCAUCUGGAAAUUGUCUAUUUUCGUAUGCUAUAAACUAUGGAAAUUAUCAAGUUUAACAUGAAAAUUGAAAAUUUUCAAAACCACUAAUAUUUGAUAUACACGUUGAAAAUGACUAAAAACUAAAUUUUAUUACGAUAACUCCUGUAAAUAAUAAUCAAAUAGAAUUAAAAAAACAUUUUUUGAACCCGAUGACUGUAAUUAUAUUAUUUUCAAAGUAAAACACAUUUCUUCAAGGAAGAAAGAACACCAAAAAAAUACUUGAAAAUGUUAUGCAACCCAACCAACUUGCCCAACACAACCAAACCGAACCCAUGACCCACAUUGACCUAAAUUAACAACCCAUAACCCGCAACCCAACAGAAUCAUAGCUCAAAAAAAUCAGUGACCAAUGAACUCUAACGCGAUUAACUCAUACCUCGACCGUCCAACCCGCCACUUUAACACCUUCGAAGAAACGGACACGUGGACCAACGAUGUUGUCACACGUGUACUCGGACAUGUGUGUGACGAGUAGUCACCUUACCCUUUUAAGAAAGGGCAGAGAAUACUUGGGGGUGAUCUUUUGAUAUGCAUGCAUGUUUCUCUUUCACUAGAGAGCUUCUUCUUCUUCUUCUUCUUCUUCUUACCUCAAAAGAACAGAGAAUAUUGUAAAUUACCAGUUGAAGAAUCCAUAAAAGGAAAGAAUGCAAGUACAAGGAAGAAAAAAUCACAAAUUCCUCAAAUCUUUUCUUUUUCCAAAGUGGGGGAAUAUAUAGAAUGAGAGGGGGGGCCAAAAGGGAAAUACAGUUGCAGCAGUCAGAUAUAACAGAUUAAGAACUGAGCAAGUAUUCCUUUCCAUUAGUACGGCAUCAUCAUAGAUAAGAAGAGAAGAAAUUCAGCUAAGUACAAUCACCAGUAGUACUGUACUACUAUUCUGGUAAAACAUCAUGGUUUACUGUUUCAGGCACCAAUGUUCUGGAGAAUGUCUAAUGAUCGAAUUGCUUUUCGAACGUAAUUGUUCUAACUUCUAACCUGUCUGGAUCAAGGAGAUGCCGCCAUGUGAACAGUGAUGAUUCCUGUGGAGAAUGGCGACCAGUGAACCUGGUGAGAGGCUUAUGAUCCCUAUGCUCGACCGAUUUGGCUUCCUGAUUAUAUUCCACAACAGUAGGUAAAUCCGUAUUCGUCAUGGUAUAAGAUAAAACUUUGGAUGCAGCAACAUAGCAUAAUUCAUCAGUGAACAUGAAGUUGAUCUACUAACUCAAUGCCAGCUUUUAGUUGGAGUGAUUCAUGAAAUCCCCUUCUGCAAAACCCAGCAUAUAUAGUUCACUCAGUUCAUGGGGAUGCUGCAAUGUCAGAGAGGAAAAUAAAAGUUCAGUUUCCGUUUGCAGGUUACACUAUAGUUUCCCCUUAUAUGAUUGAUUCCUAUCCACAUUCCAGAAAAACAGUUAAGGAAUAUAUAUAUUUUUAACUUUUAUUCUUUACCUGAAAGCUUUUUUCCUGGGAUUCUUCAAAACUGCAUAAUAUAAAUAUCUAUAUCCAGGUCAGAAACUAAUAUUGUCAAAAAACUAUCUCCAAGACCUUACGACGCACUCGAAGUUCGUGUCAACAUAUUGUAGUUAACGUUUGUUGUAAUAUCCUACACCAGUUAAUGACUGCAUUUAUUCUGCAUUAGCUGUUGAUAAUGGAGAUGUUAUUCUGCUAUAAUAUUAUAGGGUAUAGUACUAAUUCCUGGUGAUCACCUUAAGAACCAAUCCUUUCUCCAUUACUAUGUGAUAGAACAGCACAUGCAUCAAGAGCAUCAAAAGAAAUCAAAUUCCAACAGAUUAAGAAUGCUGAUUUAUUCUAGAAGAAAUAUUAACCAUAGAACUGUGGAGUCUCAUAGAAAGACGCUAGACAAGCUGUGCAUGUAAGUAGUCAACGAUAAUAAGAACACAAGUAUCACGUUUUGAUAUGUAUGUAUAUAUGAUGAUGAGGCCAAUCAAACUUCAAUAAGCAUAUUGAGCAGAAAGAGAAACAGCAGAGCAAUAUGGUUAAGUUGUAGAUUCUUAUAAAUACAGAAAUCGGAGUACCACUCCUCCUCCUUGGCAGUCUUCAUUUCAUGGAUGCCAUGUCCUUUGUCAAGUGGAAGUAUCAAAGCAAGUACAGCUCUUUUUCUCCCCCUCCCAGAUGGAUUCGCGACGGUGCGGGGCCAGCUGCCAGUUGAAGAAUGAAAAGGAUGUGGACCCUUCUCUUUUAUGCUGUAUGGAACUGAAUAAGUACCCAACUUAUUGAAGCAGACAAAACAGAAUGUAUUCUUUGGUUCCAUUCCUUGCCUUCAAACAAUGUCCAAGAACAAGCAUCUUUACUUCAUUUAUGUUUAUUUUUGUUUCUUCUCCGAUCUUUCCUUGUUUAACUCCCACCCUGAUAUGGUCUAAUACCAAAGUCUUAAGGUGCUCUAGUCAACAGAAUCACUUAUAAACAACAACUGAUAUCUCCCUCCCCUAUGCAUUAGUUCCCCCCCAUCAAAUAGAUCAUGAAUAGUUUUACAACUACAUUGACAGCUGAAACGACGAAUAUGAGCGACAAAGAUAUCUUAAAUCUGAGAAUCUUCUGUUGAGAAUGCUACGGGAUGAAAGGUCUGAAGAAGAUAACAGAGAUGAUGGAUUCCCUCAUAAAAAAAAAUACCUCUCACAUCCAGGAAUAAGAUUCUCACUCUUUUUUCCAGAGGGCAAAAUACGGAUGCACACAAUUUAAAAAAGGUUUUCUUGGUGCAUCAAUUCCAAGUAUCUAAUUCAAGGCGUGAAUGUGUUUCCAAGAGAUGAUGUGGGAGAAGAAUUUUAAUUGGUAGAGCCACUCAUUUGCAAUGGAAAGUUAGAGAGUUCAGAGCAUAGCGUCCUCCUAAAACAAAGUUUUUCAACUCGUAGUGAAUAUUUAGAUUGGGUAGGGGCAUUCUGUCGGCUUUUGUUUUCAAGAUUCUAUUCCUAAAUAGCUUACAUUCUCUUUCUUCACCCCAGUUCUUUAUAAGGACAUGAUUGGGUCGACCUUUCACAGUGAGCAUUUGCCAAGAGAGGGCAAGAGCAUACAGAAGAACCUCAACUCAAGAAAGAACAUAGAGUGGUAUGAUUACCUCAAGGAGUGUUGCAUAGUCAGGUUUUCGACGUCAUAAUCUGCGACAAAUUGGAUCGAAGGAAGAAAAAACAAGGCAUCAGGUGAAGAAGACAAAAGUAUAAGUGCUCCUCCUAAAUAGAAGUUCAGUUUUCUUGGAGGGGUGAUAGAAAUGUACCAUCAUCAUCACCAAGGACAGAACAUGCACUCUGCUUCAAGAAUACCAAUCCCUUCAGAGAGGCAUCUGUUCCUGCAAGGUGGGAAUGGCCCUGGAGACUCGGGACUCGUCCUUUCGACCGACGCAAAGCCUAGGCUGAAAUGGACUCCGGAUCUCCAUGAGCGCUUCGUGGAAGCAGUCAACCAACUUGGAGGAGCAGACAGUGAGUAUUGUGAAGCAUGUUCCAACAAAAUCCUACAAGAGACAUAAAUGCAUGUUCAUGAUAUCCAAUUUCUUUGUUGUUUUAAUUUGCAGAAGCUACACCAAAAACAGUUAUGAAGCUUAUGGGGAUUCCUGGACUUACAUUAUACCACCUAAAGAGCCAUUUACAGGUAACUGUUAUAUCUUCCACAUUAAUUUCAUGGUCAAUAACAAUUAACAAGUAAUAAUCUAGGAUUUGCGAAGAUUUAUGUAGCUAGCUAAUCGUAAAGCGAAACAGCAUUUUCUUGGACAUAAGCUAAAAUAUAACUAUCUGUUUCAUGUAUGCAUGUGUUACUAAUAUUCCACAUUUUAUGGAACAGAAGUUCAGGCUCAGCAAGAAUCUUCAUGGACAGACUAAUAAUGGAAGCAACAAGAUGGGUAUGAUGCCCUAAGCAUUUCAAGCAGAGGUUCUGAAAACUCCUGUCUAUCAUAAAAUAACCAAGGAAAUUGAUUUGACGCAGGUGGUCUUGCUGUUGCUGUAGAGAGAGUACCUGAAACAACUCAAACACAUACGACUCCAAAUAACUCGAGCAUUGCCCCGCAAACAAACAAGUACGACUCUAUAAACUUACCUUCAUAUGGUCUCUCAUUUGAAUGAGCACUUUUGCUUGCCAGUCAAACUGAAAAUGGACUUCUCUUAAUCCAGGAGCUUGCAUAUCGGUGAGGCACUACAGAUGCAAAUUGAAGUGCAGAGGAGGUUGCAUGAGCAGCUUGAGGUAUGUCGAUACUUGCAACUCGAAAACCAUUUCUCUAGAACUCUUGAGUUUUACAGAAUACAUCGUUUGUUUAACAUUUUUAGGUUAGUGGAAUUGAGAUUUUUCCUCUGCUGGGCCCACUUUUCCCCUUAAUUAUGUAUUUGACAAAUACAUGGUAAAGACCAUGUAUUCUAAGAAAAUCAGUGUUUCUUUUAUGUUAGUUUGAAUUUGACAUUACUGCCCAUGUUUCAAAAUAAAACUCACCAUAUUUCUACUUACCAAACAAUGUUUUUCAAUUUCCUCAAAUAUUCACAAAACAUCAAUUCCUCAAUUCCCCAAUUCCAAAUUUCCUUCAUUCCGCCUUCCCCUAUAACAAACAACCCUAGUAUUGAUUCUGAAAAGGGCAUUAUAAAGAAUAUAGAUUUGUCAGUUGUAAUCAUCAUGUUCAUCUAAUAACACAUGUAACUGGUACCAGGUACAAAGACAUUUACAGCUUCGCAUAGAGGCACAAGGGAAGUACCUACAGUCAGUGCUUGAGAAAGCACAGGACACCCUUGGAAAUCAAAACUUGGGUGCAGUAGGACUUGAAGCUGCCAAAGUUCAGCUCUCUGAACUGGUCUCUAAAGUAUCUACUCAGUGUCUCACUUCUGCUUUUUCAGAGCUGAAAGAACUGCAGGGUCUGUGCCCUCAGCACAUACAAACAAACCAACGCACUGAUUGUUCUAUCGAUAGCUGUCUGACGUCUUGCGAAGGACCUCAAAAGGAGCAAGAGAUGCACAACAUAGGCAUGGGAUUGAGGCCCUAUAACGGCAGCAACAGUCUGUUGGAGGCAAAAGAACUUCCUGAUCCGAACAUCCUACGGCAGUCUGACAUCAGGUGGAGAGAUGACGUUAAAGAGAAUAACAAUAUGUUUCUGACAUCACUAGGGAGAACAGCAGAGAGGACUGUUUUCCCGACUGAAAGAAGCGCUAGUGAUUUAUCCAUGAGUGUUGGACUCCACGUCAACAUAGGGAAUGCAAACGGCAGGCUUUCUGAAGGAAGAUACAAAGGGAGAAGCGACAACGACAUGUUCCCUGACCAAAAUAACAAGAAGUCAGAUUCAUUGCCUUACAUUGGGAAAAGGCUGGACUUGAACUCCCACGACGAGAUUGAUGCUACUUCAGGCUGCAAGCAACUUGACCUGAACGGUUUCAGCUGGAAUUGAGGAAUUUCCCUGCAGAAGUACACUGGUAAACCUCACCGGAGGAUGAGCCAUCGCCCAUCCAACAUGACCAAGGCUGAAAGCAAAUCAGCAUGAUUUCUUUCUGCAGCUGGUCCAAGCACCAGCAAAACAAUGAAUCCAAUCUAAAAAGAAUAGGUUAUAGGAAAAAAGAGCGUAUCCCUAGAACUUAUGAGAAUGAUGUACUUUUUUUCUACGUUAAGCAUCACAAAGAGUUGUAUGGAUCGAAUUCAGACCAUAUCAUAUCAGAGUACCAACCUUAGUAAAGUACAAUAACCCUGAUUACACCAACUUACUACGUUGUAUUGUCCACUAAGCAGGACAAAUAACGAGUCUUCCCAUAUAUUAUUAGUAUAUUACAUAAAAACUCCGAAAGCUUGACAUACUCCACUCCAUACUUAAACAUACCCACCAUUGGCACGAAUCACCUGUCCAUUGACCCACUCACCAGCAUCACUAGCCAAAAACCCAACAACAUUAGCAAUGUCCUCAGGUUCCCCAAGUCGGCUUAACGGGCAUUCAUCAAUGUUCCUACGAAUCACCUCCUCGGACUUCCCUGCAAAAUACAUUUCAGUCGCAAUCGGACCAGGCGCCACACAGUUGGCAGUGAUCCCAGUUCCCUUAAGCUCCUUUGCCAGAACCUUCACCAUCGCCUCAACAGCAGCCUUGGAAGCAACAUAGACCCCAAACCCUGGUCUCAAUGAAGCCACCAAGGACGAAGUUAGCAAGAUUAUCCUGCCUCCACCUCCACGUUUCACCCGAUUCGCUGCCUCCUUGCAGCAUAGGAACGCACCUCUAGUAUUCACACUGUAAAACAAAACAAUCCAUGACGUGGCAUCCAGGUAGAUGAUGACAUGGCAUCUACGUUAGGAAAAUACCCAUUUCAUCCGCUAAUAUAUAAUGACUUGGCGUCCAGGUGAGUGAUAGCAUAUUGGCAUGUCCGCCACGUCGGCAGAAUUCAAACAUUCGAAAGCAGAAUAUGAAUAACAGAUAAGCUAGGGUUUACCACCAUCGGAAAACUCACCCGAAAGUACGAUCGAAAUCCUCCAAGGAAGAAUCGGCUACAGAAGGAUACUUCGAAUCCAACACCCCAGCGGAAUUCACCAGGAUAUGGACCUCGGACCCGAACGCUCUCUCGGCCUCGUCGAACAAGGACUUCAUAUGAGCUGGAUCAGAUACGUCAGCGAGUACAGAAAUGGCGCGGAGGGAAUCGGACGAGGAUUUGUUGAGUUCGGCGGCAACGAGGUCUGCUUGUUCCUUGUUGGAAGAGUAAUUGACGACGACUCGAGCACCGAGUGAUCCCAGGUGGAGAGCGAUCGCUUUUCCGAUGCCACGAGAGGAUCCAGUGACGAUCGCCACCUUGUCGACGAGUGGGAGUGAGGGAGACGAUUGGGAUGCGGUGGUAGCCAUGGCCGGCGGGACAAAUGGAAACGGCGGUGGUACAGAUAGAGAUGAAGAGAUAAAAUUUUGCGGGAAGCUUUAUUGGGCUCCGUUGGGCUUUAGGAAUAUGGGCUGGGUUUUCAAUUGAUCAAUUUCGGUUAGGUAGUCGAACCAACCAAAUUCGAGUAUGAAUUUUAUAGUGGUUAUUGAUUUGGAUUAGAUAAAUUGACAACUUUAUUUACUUUUAUUUUCAAUUUCAUAAAUAAAUAAAAGUUGUGUGGAUAUUUUUAUUUUAAUGAAAUAAUGUUGAUGUAGUUCAAAGUACCAAAUGAUCUAAAUAUUUAAAAUAAUAAAAAAAAUAAAACAAUCAAAUUCCGGAUUACCGCGCUUUCCACACACACAAGAAAAAGGAAAGCAAACUCAAAGAUUCAAAAAACCCUAAAUCUCCACCAGUAUUCCACUGUCCUCUGCUCCAAAAUUUGAAAUCUUUUCGCCGUUUUCUUCCAUUUCUAAGCAAUCAGAAAGCUAAAGCUUUUGUUAGCAGAGAAAAAACGGAUCCAAAGAAGAAGAAGCUGCAGUAGGGAAGCCAGAAAGGCUACUGAGAAGGUUGGUUCUUUCGAUUCGGUUUUGUGCUUAAGAAGCAGAGAUUGUUGUCUUUGACAACGAAUCUCAGCUACCCAUUUCCUUUCUUGGUGUUCUUUGUCUGUCAAUUUUGGUUAAUUAGUGGAAGUAUUGGUCAAUUGUGGUGGAACUUGUUGGUUUUGAUUUUGAUUGAUCAAUCAGGGGUGAAAUUUUGGUUUUGGGAUGUGAAUUAGGGUUUAUGUGCAUAUUAGUUCUUGGCCGGAAAAUUUGGUGUACAAGGGGAAGGGGUUACUGGUCUAUUGUAGUGCCAAUUAUUGGUUUUGAUUUCGGUUAAUCAAUUAGGUUCAUAGAUUCAUGUAACUUUUGUACUGUGCUUGAAAAUCUGUGUAUGCUGAUUGUGUUAGGUUCAAAGAUGAAUGGUAGGAACCGGAGUACGAUACUGAAUCGAGAACUAUCGAAUCUGGACAAAGAUCUGAAGACUCGAAAAUCAGCGAUGAAGGCGUUGAAAUCGUAUGUCGAAACCAUGGAUUCCACUUCCAUCCCGCUGUUUCUAUCUCGAGUUUCGGAGACCAAAGAAACCGGAUCGCUAUCAGGAGAGUACACAAUCUCGCUCUUCGAAGUCCUAGCUCGUGUCCAUGGAGUCAAAGCCGCUCCCCACAUCGAUACCAUCAUGAAGAUCGUAAACAAGACACUGUCUUUAAGUGCAGGAUCUUCCCCUCUUCAGCAAGCUUGCUCGAAGGUAGUCCUCGCGUUUGCUCGAUAUUGCAUCGAUCCGGGAACUUGCGAUAAGGAGAAGAAACGGAUAGUCGAUUCGAUCUUGAGCCCUCUCGUCGAGAGUCUAGUAAGCAAUCAGGAAUGUCUUAGCUCGGGAUCUGCUCUUUGCUUGAAGGCUUUGGUCGAAUUGGAUAACUGGCGAUUCGCUUCUCAUUCGAUGGUGAACAAAGUCUGCCAAAAUGUAGCUGUGGUACUCGAGGAGAUCGAGAAGUCCAUCAAAUCGAACUCGCAUAUGUCUCUAGUUAUGUCUCUUUCGAAACGAGCUCCAUCGUUCGUUGAAGCUUAUGCCAGGCUGUUUUUAAAAGCUGGAGUUGCCAUCCUGAAUGCUGGUCGUGUUGUUCAAUACCGCGAUUCCCAGAAGCGUCUGCUGGCGAUUCAGAUGGUUGAUUUCAUGAUGAAGUGUUUGGAUCGAGAGACGAUUUCGCCCUCAAUGCUCGAUUCGAUCGUUAAGGAGAUGGAGAGUUGUCUUUCUGAUAAGAUGGCGUGGGUGAGAGAGCAUGCAUUUGAAGCUUUGAAGACUGCAAAGAAAAUCUCUGAAGAAGCAGCAUCCGAAUUCGACAAGAGUUCUGGCUCUGUCAGAGGUCGUAGUAGAAGUCGUACUCGGAGGAGGAAUCCAUCGAGUCAAGAGUCGCAGACAUUUGACUCGUGCAUCAUGGAGUAUGAUUCAAUGGUUGAGUCACCUCUAUCGGGACCUCCAGCCAAUCGCGCAAUGUUGAGCAGUGACAAUGCGAGAGUGGAUGUAUCUCUAAGUGACGGUUUGUUCUCGGAACUUGCUAAUGAUCAUGGAAGUCCCUUUUACAAUCCGUUGACCGAAAGCAUUGCCCGAGAUUACGCAGCAGGGGGGGAGUUUACCGGCUUUACUCCGAGAAGCAACAGAAAUGGAAUGCCUAGAAGCCGCACUCCCAGUCCUCAGGUAUGUUCAAUUUCUGUCUGAGAUAGUUAGAUGGUUCAUCACGAGCUGGCCAACGAACAAAGAAAUCGUCUUUUGCCUCGAAAUAGUUGAUGGCUACUGUGUUAACCAUCUAUUGACUUCCUUUAUUGAACUCAUCAGAUGUUAGUUCACUUGUUAUUGAUUGGUUGAUGUUUGAUUGCUUCUCAGAAGUCACGCUCCAACGUAAAUGGCGAUAAAUUCGCAACUCCAAAGACUCUCAUCAGCUCUCUACAGCACACGGUGGAUUCAGAAUUUGACGAGAAUCGAAGCAGGGGGAGCUUGAGAACUCCAUGCUCGUGUAACGACUACUCAAACUGUCAAACUUCUAAGAUUGACGAACAUGGGUUCGGUGAUCAUAAUGUCGUUGAGUACAAUGCGAAUGAGAAUCGUGAUGUCGCUGAAUCAGUUUCUUCAACAGAUGAUGUUCUUCCUCCUGCUACUGAUGCAGAAGAAGUUGCUGCGGAGAAACAGCCCAGGAAGAGUAGUUCUAGAUGGCUCUUCCUCGCCUUUCUUUUCGCUGUCUUGUCAGUAUUCGCAUCGUUGUUGUUGUUCUUUGAUGGCUCUGAACAAGAAGGCCAUUAUCUUCUUCCAACUUAGUGUCCUAAUCCUAAUUGAGCAAGGAUUUGAUAGAGUUCCUUUGUAGUAAUCUAUUAAUGUCUACUGUUUCAGUUGGAUGUUCAUUAUGCUUAAUAGAUCACAAAGAUCAGUUUGUUUUGACUAAGACAUUGAUGAUUGAUUUAGAUAAUGUAGAUGGUGCUUAUGAAAGUCUCGCAACUCGAUUGUCUUCGACCAUUUCCGGUUUCUUCUGUCCAUUCUCCAUUGCCAUUUUCUUUGGGAUUUGGUAGAACUUCAACUACCAUUAACCGAAUUACAAAACUAUCGAAACUUUUCAUAUAAUUUAGUACUUUAGGCCAUGAAAUAAGAUAGUUGCGACUCUCUCUUGCUCCUUGUAGUUCCAACAGGACCAAGUACUGAGCCGAAGAAAAUCGUAAAUAUAUAUCCGAAUUGAAGGCUCUGGACCGAACUGGCAGCUCACCCCAGCUCCACCUUGAAUCCGCCUGUGUUUUUGACUAUAUGCUUUUAAACUCACCCCAAACAUAAGAACCUCGACAGAGUCUCUAACCAUCCCAGUUCCGUAACUACACCGGAUCAUCUAUUUACUGCAAACUGAAGUAGUUUCUUUUUGUU